rnacentral:lncRNA from 1 species
UUAAUGAUGGGAAAGAAAAAGAUCUAUCUUAUUUCCUCAUCUUUCCAUUUAUGCUGUGGAGGAUGAUCCACAACCAGAUAUGGAUCACUCUGUCUCGAUACCAGACCGCCAAGGGCAAUGGCCGAAUCGUUGACAAACCUCUUGAGUUUGAGCAAGUCGACCGAGAAAGAAAUUGGUGAGCAUUUAUAAAGACCUAAAUAAGUUUUAGAACUUAACUUUGACACGUAAACUCGCAAUGUAAUCUCAUAAUCUGUCUGAAAACAAAGUAUCCAAGUUCUAUACUUAAGUAAGGGACUUGUGCCCAGUUAAGAUCAUGCAUCAUUGCACUUGAAGUCUUAAAUUCGAUACUCCCCUCUUUAUCGUUUGUAUAAAAAAAGUCCCAACUUAGGUUCUCAUUAGAUAGCAUAUAAUUACUAGAACCUGAACGUCAUUUGGGAUUUUGUUUUGAUUGUUUUUGUUUUUUUGUUUGUUUGGAAUUUAGGGAUGAUCAAAUAGUGUUCAAUGGGAUUUUGUUCUGCCUAGGCAGCAGGCAUAUGCCUGGGGCUCAAAAUCUGCCACUUUGGAGGACAGAUGGGGUUCUCUUGACGAUUUUGCUGCAUGCUGGCCCAGUGGAGUACCUCUACUAUUGGCUCCACAGAGCACUUCACCAUCAUUUCCUCUACUCUCGCUACCAUUCUCAUCACCAUUCCUCUAUUGUCACUGAGCCAAUCACUUGUAAGAAAAAUAACCCUAAAUUAAUAGGAUUUUUCUUCUGAGCAUAUUUUGUUUAAAUAAUUUUUUUUACUUUCUAUUAUUGACUACCUGUUCAAUAAAGAUAGACCUCAUUAAUAUAUAUGGGACUUACCUGUAUUAAAGAAGUUGUGAGAAAUGUAGCCACGAAACGUGGCACAAAUAGUAACACUCAUUUUAUAUAAAUUUAGUAGGUGAAAAUGUUUUAAUGAAGUAUAUGCAAAACAAAAAACUAAUAAACAAAGGUAACCUAAAAUUGACAUGGAUUAUUAUUUUUAUUUUAUGUAUAUUUUGCAGCUGUGAUUCAUCCAUUUGCGGAGCACAUAGCAUAUUUCGUACUCUUUGCUAUACCUAUGUUGACGACUACACUCACGGGGACAGCUUCAAUCAUAUCCUUUGCUGGCUAUGUUACUUAUAUUGACUUCAUGAACAACAUGGGACACUGCAAUUUUGAGCUCAUUCCAAACUGGCUCUUCUCCAUUUUCCCUCCUCUUAAGUAUCUCAUGUACACCCCAUCGUGAGUCUCUCUCUCUCUCUCUCUCUCUCUCUCUCUCUCUCUCUCUCUCUAUAUAUAUAUAUAUAUAUAUAUAUAACUGAUCGUACAGAAGAACCACUUUACAUACAUAGACUCCAAAAGGAGCGAUGCAUGUAUCGUUUACAUAAUUUAGAGGUAACAAAAAUUACAAGUAAUUUCAGACAAAAAAAUAAUUACAAAAUCAUUUUCUGUUAGAAUAAUUAUUGUGUUACCAUUGAUGUUAUAAUAACAUGAUCCAAUUGAAAAGGAAACGCUUGAACACGUGUACGGAGAGAUAUCCAUGUGGACCACGCUGGUAGAGACACCCGUGUCAUGAUGUCAUGCACAAGUGACGUUCCUCAUGUGGCUCAUAGCUUGUAAUUAAUGUUCAUUUGGACCCUAAUUAGAAUUCAUACCAGCUGCCAAACCUAAAUUUUUUGGGGCUUUCAGCAAAUAGGCCUAGUUUAUCAUGACAUGUUAUAUAAAAGAGUGCUUCUAAGAGCAUCUCCACCCACAAGGGCUAAGUCUAAGGCAAAGGCAAGCAAGGGCUGCCACUAUUCACGUGAAUAGUGUCAGCCUUUGCAUUUGUGGUUCCACCCAUGGGGCAAAGUCUAGGGCAAGUCUAAGGCAAUUACUAUUCAUUGUACUUUAUUUCCUAUUUUUUUAUACUUUAAACCAUUAAUUUUGAUAACCUUUUAAGAUUAUAUUUUCGGUUGUCAUGUGUCACUAUUUAUUAUAAAAUUUUUACUUAAAAUUUAAGAUAACAUUUUUCGGAUAAAAUUUUCAAAUAAAAUUUUCGGAUAAAAUUUUCGGUUGCCACGUGUCCAUAUUUGUUAUAAAAUUCACAUCCCACUCAUAGGGAAAAUGAAUAAAAUUGUUAGGUAUUUAUAGGGAAAAUAUCCAGAAUUUUUUGGUAUUUUUUUAAAAAAAAUUUGAAUUUUUUUCGAUUUUUUUUGCAAUUUUUUAAGCCAAAAAAAGCAAGGCCGUCAGAUUUCUGGAAAAAAUUGCAUCGGAGGGUCCGGGACGCGCCACGUGGCAUAUUCCCGUUGGAGCCUGUCGGAAGUGACGUCACGCUGAUGUCAGCGAGCGAAAAUCAAUUUUUUUUUACUGUUGGCGCGUGAAUUUCACGCGCCAACGGUAAAAAAAAUUUGAGUUACUGUGCGCUGGCGUCAGCGUGACGCCAGCGCUGACGUCACCAAACUCGGGCUUCAGCCCGGGCAAGACUUGCCCUUGGGCUUGAUCGGGCUCGUGGGACCCACCACGAAACCGAGCUGCGGGCCUUGCGCUGGAGCCAUCUCGGGCUCGCCCAGGGGGCCUUUCACCCGGUUUCCUAUGCGCGCUGGACGUGCUCUAAACGAACUUUAAAAGUAACUGAAUACACCAUAUUACUAAACUAUUUAUUGAAUUAUUAAUUUAUUCUAAUAUAAAAUGAUCAAAAAUAAUAUAUUGAAUUGUGAAAUAAAUAAAAUUUUAAUAAGUACACCUUACUCACUAUAUUCAAACCUUAUCAUACAUAGAAAAGUCUUCGUAUUGCUUGGUGCUCACGAAUAACGCAGUGAAUACUAGUUUAGGAUUAGUAUUACGAAAUUAAAGAUUUUGAUGAAAUCCAAAAUCUGAAAAGAUGGCACAAAUUCAUGUAAAAAGAGAAACUUGGUUUAUGAUUGAUAUUAGAGUGUUGUACUAGGGCUAUUUUUGGUAGUUAAAUACGGUGUACUUAGUUAAUUUUACAUUUUGAUUAAAAUAUUAGGGUUAACUUAGAUUAUAGGGUGCACUCAGUUAAUUUUAGGGUUCGUUUAGCAGCACUCUAUAUAAAAUUUCUUAGGCUUUUGGUUCAUAUGAAAGGAGAUUUGGGGACAAAAAAUUAAUUACUUUAUCAUGCUUGGUAAGUUCAGGCACGUGAAAUAGUUGUUUGACACAUCCUUGGAAACUUUGGGAAAAUGGACCAUCAUUAAAUGCACAUUUUUCAUGAUCAUUUUGUUCCAUUAACAAUUUAGAAUUACAAUAUAACAUUAAAUCCAUUUUUGUUAGUGUUGUUGAAUGAACCUUAAAAUUAAUUGAGUAUACCCUAUAAUCUAAGUACAUUCUAAUAUUUAAAUUAAAAUACAAAAUUAACUAAAUACACCCUAUUUAACUACCAAAAAUACCUCUAAUACAUCCUAACGCUGCAAAAUAAGGUCUAUCAGAUUUACAAGAUCUUUUACAUAAUCAAGAGAGUAUAAGGUUUCUAUAGGAUUAAUUGUUUUCAAUUAUCCAAGGAUGCUAGAAUUGAUGUGGAGAAGGAAUGUAAUGAUAUGAUCUAUUUGUCGUGUCUUGAGAAGCUUUCCGUGGAAAAGGAGGGGGAGGAGGAAGAAGAGGGCGCAGAGAGAGAAUUUGUUAUUGGUAAAAAAAUUUACAACCUAAACCAGAAAAACCAAAAUUAAUACCUCUUUUGAUGACUCAUUCGACAUGUCUGAAGCAUUCAUGAGACUUGUUUGCUUCAAUGAAUUACUAAAUGAUGACGAAACAAAUUAUUGGAGUUAAUAUUAAGGUUUUUGGAAGUAAAUUUUUUCACUUACGUUUGAUUAGGGUUGAAUAUGGUGAGUAGAGUGUACUUAUUAAAAUUAUAUUUAUUUCACAAUUCAAUAUAUUGUACUUAUUAAAAUUAUAUUUAUUUCACAAUUCAAUAUAUUAUUUUUUGUCAUUUUAUAUUAGGGUAAAUUAGUAAUUUAAUAAAUAGUUUGAAAAAAAAUUAAACAAACUUUGUUUUAUAUUCCUACGCAAACCAAACAUGGGAAAUGAAAUAAAAUGGUAUUUUCUAUUUACUUUUCCACCAUUAUCGAACAUGGGAAAUGAAUAUUCUAUUUCUCAUCCUUUGAAAAAAUACAUGAGAAAUUAUUUCCCAUCAAAUCCUUAUUAGAAGACAUAAGUGCUUUUGUUAAAAGUACUUUUAGUAAAAGAACAUUGAAAUAUUUGUUAAAAAUCUAAGUGCUUAUUGAAUGUGCCUUUUCAAAAACGGCUUUUAUUACUCAUAAAGUACAUUAAAUUUUUAUUAUGUUAAACGUGAUAAUUAGAAGUGCUUUUACUUGUCAUAUAUUAUCGGUCAUAUGAUAUAUCUUUAAGACUCUAAAUUUCUGACCACACAAAUCACAUGAUAUAUCAUUAUCCAUGAUUGAUUCAAUGUCGACAUAUGCAGGUUCCACUCUUUGCAUCACACGCAAUUCAGGACCAAUUACUCACUCUUCAUGCCAAUCUACGACUACAUCUAUGGAACCAUGGACAAAUCUUCAGAUUCUCUCUACGAAACUUCACUCAAGAGAAAGGAAGAAACACCAGAUGUCCUUCAUCUAACUCAUCUAACAACACCUGAGUCCAUCUAUCAUCUACCGCUAGGAUUUGCUUCCUUGUCCUCUAAGCCCCACACAUCACACUGGUACCUAUGGUUGAUGUGGCCUGUGACACUGUGGUCCGCGAUGCUUACUUGGAUCUAUGGCCGUACAUUUGUGGUUGAGCGGCAGCGUUUUGACAAGCUAAGAUUACAAGCUUGGGUCAUACCCAAAUACAGCUUGCAAGUACGACCAUCAUGAACUUUUUACUUCUAAUUUAUAGGUCACUUAUUAUUUUAUUUUUUAAUGAGAUUUGAUCUGUUAUUUUUUGGUUUUAUAAAUUAAUUGCAGUACUUCUUGCAAUGGCAAAAUGAAGCUAUCAAUGGUUUGAUUGAGGAAGCCAUACUGGAAGCAGAGGAAAAGGGUGUCAAAGUUUUAAGUUUAGGUCUCUUGAAUCAGGUAAUCAAUUAGGGACUCGUUUGGUUGUUUGGUUUGAAUUGAAUUAGAGUGGAGCUCAAGUCAGUUUUUAUGAAUCAUAUCCGUCUAGAUGAGAGAUUUAUAAGGUAAAGGUUGGACUGUUACCUAAUUAAUAAGUCCAUUCCCAGUAUUUAUAAGUUCACAAGGACCACAACAUUUUUUCUAAUUUAGCCUAAAUUCUACUUAAUUUGUUUUCUGACAAUUUCUAAACCAAUUAAUAAUGGAAUUGAGGUGGAUAUGUAUUUAAUGUUAAAGACUCAAGGUAGCUUUAUAUUGUGGCACCCUUAAUUAAUGCCAAGCUCCAUAUUCUGGCACCUUUUUUUUUGUUUUUUGUUUUUUUGGUACCUUUUUUUGUUUUGUUUUGUUUUUUCAUUUUUCUCAAUGCUAUACCAAUAGCUGUAACAAGUAAGAAAAACAUGUAAUCUUUUAAUUAUUUCGGUUACAAAAUUAAAAAAAUUAACAUAAAACUUUGCAAAAUAUGCAGGGUGAGGAGCUGAACAGAUACGGGGGUCUAUAUGUUCACAGGUAUCCUGAGCUGAAAAUGAAGGUGGUGGAUGGAAGUAGCUUAGCUGUGGCUGUAAUCUUAAACAGCAUUCCAAAAGGGACAACCGAAGUUCUUCUGAGAGGCAACCUCACCAAGGUUGCUUAUGCCACUGCCUUUGCUUUGUGUCAGAAGGGUAUCCAGGUAAAUUUAUGCAUCACCUAUAAACAGGGACGGAGCUAGAAUUGCAAAAUUAAGGAGCCGAAAUAAAAAAUACAAUUAUACCUAACACCUAAAUAUAUUCAAGAGUUACAUGUGAGAGCUUAAUAUUUCUAACUUAGCCAUGAAUAAACCCUCUCUUAAAACUCUCUGAUUUUUGUCCUUCCUUCUCGGUUCUCUGAUUUCUAUCCUUUCUUUUGUCCAUUCAAUCUAUAUUUUCUUCUCCUUAAUCUCUUAUAUUCUUCUUUGUUCUAUUGUUUGAGUGCUUAAUUAAAUACCUGCGGAUUGUCCUACAUCAAUUGAUAUUAGAGCCAAAUUUUGGUUUAGAUGGGGCCAUUAACUUUAAUUAUAAGUUGUCUAAAGUGACAUAAAAAAUCUGGGGCCAGAGCCACUCUGACAUGUUGGGUCUAAUCAUCUACGAGACGAUGUUUUUUCCAAUAUCCUAACAUAAAUUGUGAUAAUUUCAGGUAGCUACUUUGAACCAGACCGAGUAUUUGAAGCUAACAAAAUCAUUAAAUGUCACUGACAGUCGUUUGGUCCUUGCAAGAAGUUAUGCCCAAAAGGUAUCAAUUAUCUGCUACAGAUGUUACCUUCUUUAAUCCUAUUUUGCUGUUAUAUUUUGGACACUUAAGAAUGAUAUUAAAAAUGUGCUAAUUAAUUGAAUUUGCAGAUUUGGUUAGUGGGAGAUGGAUUGAGUGAAGAAGAACAACUGAGAGCACCGAAAGGAACAUUAUUUGUUCCUUUCUCCCAAUUCCCACAAAAAAAACUGCGUAAAGACUGCUUCUACCACUACACUCCAGCAAUGAAGACACCCCCAUCUCUUGAGAAUGUUCAUGCUUGUGAGGUAAUUAAGCAAUUGUUUUAUUUUUUCUUGUUAUUAAUUAGUAAAUUAUGACUAAUAUAUAUUUUUAUGUUAUUAAUUUGCAUUGUUAAUUAUGUUAUUAACAGAAUUGGUUGCCAAGAAGGGUGAUGAGUGCAUGGCGCAUAGCAGGCAUAGUGCAUGCCUUGGAAGGCUGGAAGGAGCAUGAGUGUGGGUACAACAUGUCCAAUAUUGACAAAGUUUGGCAAGCAACUCUCCAACAUGGCUUUCAGCCUCUCAUGAUCUCUACCACCCACACCAAAAAUUAGUUGGCUUCAUCAAAAUAUUAAUGACAUGCACCCUCUUCUUUAUUAUAAGUAGUCCCUUAUUUCUGUUGGGUUUUUAAUUAUGUGACUAUUAUUAUGGCUUUUGGCUUUUGGCUUUUAUGUAACUCUGUUGUCAUGGCUUUUAUUAUCAUGGUGUGUAUCAGUUACUGUAUUGCGGAUAUAACUAUUUAUUGAAGUAGUAUUCAUUUCAAUAAUGACGGAUUCAUAAUUUGAAAGUCGAUUAAACGAAAUUUACCAACUAAACUCACCAAUACAAGCAAAUUCUAUUAAUAAACAUAAAAAAUACACCAAUAUAUAAUUUACAUAAUAUAUUUUAUAUAUUUCUUGAAAUUAAUUAAAAACAACAAUCUAUGUUGCAUGUUAAGAGGAGGAUAUGACAGUUAAAAUAUUUUAUUAUAUAUAUAUAUUGUUGUAAAUGCAUGAGUUGGUGGAUGACCACCAUACCUCUUAGCAUUCACCCUUUCUAAUUCUAUAUGUAACCUAUACACUAAAUACCAUAGUUAUGAGCUAAUAAUUUAUGAGUUGUUAAUGUCUUCUUAUCACUGUAAGCCUAUAAAUAAGAGGUCUUACCAGGAUAAGAUAUACAAGUUGAUUGUCACAAAUUCUAUUGUCUUUCUCUACUUUCCAAUUCUCUCUACAAUUUUCUCUCAAUUAUAUAACAUGUUAUUAGCAUGAGCCUCUAACCACUUGAGGUUUUGUUUUUCUAUCUUAGAAAUAGAAUAGUUUCCUCUUAUAUAUUACAAGUAUAGAACUCUUGUUACAUAGGAUUUGACAAAUGAAAAGAAGUGCAUCAACAAAAGAAAACUGAACAACAAAAUUCCAAACAAAUAAGUUAUUUUAUUUUUAUUUUCAUUUACAUAUCUAGUGCAUAUGAAAUUUGACAUCUUAAUUUUUUGUGACUUUAAUAUACACUAGCGUGAAAAUGCCACCCUAUGCUUUUGUGGAAAUGUUAGUACAUACAUUCUGACUGUGACCUACUACUUAUUCAUAAAUCAUGUGGUACCUCGUAAAUCUAGUUCUCCAACUAUUUUAAUAUGAAAAAAGUUAUAGUUUGUUUAUUUCAAGAUACAACUAGGACUGUCCAAUUCUAUUCAAUGUAUUGAAUUUUUCACCUCAUACGACGCUUACCUAUAUGACAAUUUAAUGAACUUUUUAGAAUUCCAGUUUGUUACGUAAGGUAAUUUAAAACUCAGAUAUGCUAAAUAAGAGAAGACUGCAUAAUUGAAGGAGAUUGCACAAACUAUCAAGGAGAUGAAGUGAAGAAGACAAGGUAGGAAUCCCGACAAAGCAAUUGAUCGGUUUCUGAUACGAUCAAUUCUCAAUGCUAAGCUUUUGAUUGGAAAUUCUUGUUGGCUUAUUUCAUCCUGCACACAACAGAAGAGAGUAGUUGAAAUGUCACGUAAGUUGUGUCAAUAAGAAUCAAACCAUUAUAACAAAGCUAGGCCUAAUGUGCUUGUAGCUCUUGAGGUGCAAAUCUCAUGCGAACCUGGCCAAUAAGCACGCAACUAAUUUUGAUCAGCUCCAAAUCCUGUAUCAAGACCCCAAAUUUGAGUUGACUACUUUUGAUCAGCUAGGUCUAAUAACAAACAAUUCGUCUAUCUGAACAUACUUAUUGAUUGCUAAUGUAAUUGCUUAUUGAUUUGCAGUAUGUUAACAGAUACUUUGUUCAAAUGCAUAAAAUAUGCAACUCUUGCAUACAUGAGUUGAUUAAUGCUCUGCAGAGAGAGAGAGAGAGAGAGAGAGAAAUUGUCAUCCACGAAACAAUAACUGAUGAAUCUAAUGGUAAAUACAUGGCUAGAAAAGGUAGUGAUGGGAACUUAGUAAUAUCAAUUGUAAGAAGACCGUCAUUAGCUUUUCAAGUAUUUAUGUGCAGAAAUUUGAGGAGGCGGCUUUUUUAACAAAGGUUGCCAAAAUUUAGCUGCUCUUUUAAGAAUCACAGUUUUUAUUAAACUUUUCAACAAUAGCAAAAAAUAAGGAGGUGCAAGGCCUAAGAAGCAAAUGAAAGUGGUUACCCUCCAAAUCAAAAGUCCAAUGCGCCCCAAUUUUUUACUAUUGUUGAACGAUUUCAUAGAAACUGAAGUUGUUAAAAAGAGGGAGAAAAUCAUCACAAGUUUUGUUAAAAACCAUUUGGAAAGAGCAUGGCUUUUGCAGCAGAUAGAUUUUUGGUGAGAGUUUCCACUUGCAUCAGCUGAAGUGUGAGAAUUGUGAGGAGAAGUAGCUUUUGUGAUGAUGUUGAUGGAGUGGUUCAUCAUCAUAAUUUGGUUGAGUUCUUCCACAUCUUGCUUGUGCACCAAACGGAACCCACACUUCUUUAUACCCGAGUAAUAUAUUCUGUCAGGGUAAGCGUCAGAAAAACUAUGGAAUGAAAUCUUCAUCUGACUGCAUUCUUUGUCGACUACAUAAUGAUAUACACAAGAUACCCAAAGGUGAGGUGACACAAGAUGGCCUUUAGUAAUGGGAUUACUACGCACACAGGCACCUUCUCUUGGGCGACAUUCAAUUUGAGAAUUGGUAGAAAGGUAUUGAGGUGGAUUGGGGUGAUCCACAGGGGCACCUUCUUCAAAGACAUCACAAAAAGCAAUCCAAAUCGAAGUGGUACAUGAAGGUAGCUCCACAAUUAAGGAAUAUCCUACACUUUGAUUAUUGAACCACUCUGGAAUUCUACUUCCAGGUGUUACAAUUUGGAAAGCGGGAAUAUUCCAACGAGGUACCUGUACCAUGUAUAGGUUAGUAACUUGAGUAUUUAUUAUUAUACUAUCAUCGCAAACAAAGAGAGACAGAGAGACAGAGAGAGAACCUGAAGAAAUCUCCAAUCCAUAGCAAUCCAGAGCAUUCCAAGUAUUAUACUCUCAUCGCAGCCUUCAUUCUCAACCAAUCCAAAGCAAUUCACACAUCUCAACUUAACAUAUCUUCUUCCUUCUUUUAUGCUCAACUUUGGCAACAUUGUUAAGGAAGUGCAAUCGUCUGUGUUCAUGUAAAUUUCGCAGAAGCCUUCAUUAUCAACGAAUCCAAAGCGGAGAUGGGGCAAUUGUUGAAGCCUUUGGCACCCAUUCACCUUAAGUGACUUAAGCUUAGGAAGACAUCCAAUGCUUGGAGGAAGGCUAACAAAAUUGUUUCGACUAAGGUCUAAUUCUUCUAAAGAGGACAAGCAGCCAAUAUCAACGGGAAUAUCCCCUUCACAAAGACCACAAUCAUUGAGAUCCAAAAACUUCAAAGACCAUAAACCAUGUACCGAACCCAACACAAAAGCUUUUCUUUGAAGGCCCCACCAAAACCUUGAUUUGUCACUAAAUGUGUUUCUACUAAAGAGCCAUUCAAGAGACUUCAAAUUACAAAUUUCGCUCGGAAGACCUAAGAGAUUUUCACAAUUGCCUACAUUCAGAAAAGUAAGGCCAACAAGACGUCCAAUUGAUGAAGGUAAUUUCUCAACGGGCGUCCCUUUUAAAUCAGGAGUUGAAAUUUUUUUCAUUUGUCCUGAAAAUUCUGGAAUCUUUUUCAGUUUUGAGCAACCCUGAAGAUAUAAAUAUAUAAGAGAAUCCAUUUCUAUCUCCUUUGGAAGACUCUUAACACUUUUGCAUCCAUUUAGUAUUAAAUGUGUAAGCCAUUUGAGAUCUGCGACGGAUGGGUGAAUCUCAACUAAAUUCUCACACCAUUGAAGAUUCAACACCUUGAGUUUUGGAAUGCCAGUGAAAAUUGGGGUUGUUGCCAAGUUUCGAGAGAAACUAAGGCCUAUGUAUUUCAAAUUGGGCAAGUCCUGUACAAUAUCACAUGAAAAAUGGUAGAAUAUAUAAUUAGCAAUAGAAAAAAAUUAAACUUUUAGUUUAGUUUUUCAAAAAAUUCGUAAGAUGGCAUAUGGUCAGUAAUCUUACAAUUCUUUCAUCCCAGAGCCCAACUAGUUUGCUGUGCCACAUCUUAAGCGAAACAAGUUUAUUCAAUUGAAAAUUUGAUGGGAGAUAUUUGGAAGAAUACCGAUUCCAUUUCAUAAUUCUUAAUGAAUUAGGAAGAAUUCUGGGGAUUGAGGAAAUGAUCACAUUAUCAACUUCAAGAAAUUUCAGGUUAAUCAUCUUAGAGAAUGCUUCACAAUUCCAAUAUCCACCUUUCAAGCUCCGCCAUUCUUAAGGCAAUGCCUUGAAUUUUGUUAGUUGCCUGUAAUAAAGAAUAUAAAAGGAAAAGUUAAUUCGAGAAGUAAGUCUAGUAUUGAGUUAAAAAGAAAUCAAAUUUCUUUUUUUUUUUUUUUAAAAAAAAGAAGGUAUUUUCUACAUAAUUUUAAGAGCUAAUGGAAGGCCUCCCACAUAAUUUACAAAGCACUUGGACAAUUCCAAAAAACCUUCCUCAGGCUCAAAUUUUUUAAAGGCGUUCAGACCAAAGAGCUCAAGAGCCUCGUCAUCGCCAAAUCCCUCAACCUUAUAUGAUAUCUCCAUAUCAUGCUUUUUAACCAACCGUUUAUCUCUAGUUGUAAUGAUGAUUAUACUCCCCUUGCCAAACCAAUCCUUUUCCUUAGCAAAUUUCUCUAGUUGGCUUGAUGCAUUCACAUCAUCAAGAAUGAGAAGAACCUUUUUAUUACAUAAGCAAUUCUUAAUGAAAUAGGUCCCCCAGUCUUCAUUCAAAACUUGAGUAAUUUGUUUCUUCAAGACAGGGAAAAGAAGCUGUGUUUGUAGAUCAACAAGACAGUUACCUUCAGAAGCCUCUCUAACAUUAGCAAGAAAGCAGCUAACUUCAAAAUGAAUAUAUAUGCUUUCAUAAACAAGCCUAGCAAUGGUUGUCUUGCCAAUGCCUCCCAUCCCCCAUAUCCCUACAAAGCGAACAUCAUCUGUAGGAUCUAAAAGCAAAUCCAUUUGCUCACGUGUAAACUUAAUUCCCACUAACUCUGUGGAAUCUAACAAUUUGAAUGUGCGAUGCACUUUCCUCCAUACCCAUUCAACAAUCUUUUCAAUGAGCUUUCUUUCACACGUACAAGGAAGAACAAUGAUUAAGUCAGAAGCCAUAGAUAUAACAAGGUCUGAAGGUACAUCAAAGUGAAAAUUGGCUUACGAAAUACCCAAGUAUAUAUGGAGAAGUUGCUUAUUCAUUUUUUGAAUUGAACCCAGAUAAAUUGGCAACUUCUGUUAAAGCAGCUCUCCAGCGCUUCACCUUUUCUAUAUCUUCCCUAAACCUUUUCUCAUGCUCGGCGAACGCGCCUGCAAAAAUGCCACUUUGUAUUCGCACAUCGGAGGGAUCCACAUUAAAAAACAUAGGCAGAACUGUGUCGUUGGAUUUCAUGCAUUGGAGAUUAUUUGUAAGUUCAUCCAAGCACCAGGAAGAAGAAGCAUAGUUUGGCGAGAGAACAACGAUUGCAAGCCUUGAUUCUUGGAUUGCUUUGAAGAGCUCAGAAGAAAUAGUUGUCCCUCUUUCAAGCUUUGGAUCAUCCAUGAAUGUUUUGAUGCACCUGUGCUGUAAUUCGUGGUAUAAAUGGGAUAAAAAGCUAUUUCGAGUGUCUACACCCCUGAAACUUAAAAACACAUCGUAGUUCCAUUGAGGAGGAGCCGACUGAUCAGCUGAAGGAAGAAAGGCAGAGGCUCUUUGGGUGCUCAACGCCAUUGGAAAUCUGCUGCUUCUGCUGUAAAUACUACUCAAUGAAACAAGAACUUCGCUAAUUAAAUAUUCAAAAAUCAAAGCACUCAACUGAUCAUAAAUGGCUUGAAAAAUCAAAAAGAUUGAAAUUGAAAUUUGGAAACUUAGGGGCGUUGAAGGCAUAUAAUGCAGCAGAACAAGUUUCAGAGCAACUGGGUAAAUUUGGAUAGUCAAACAUGGUGUUAAUUUGGAUCAUCUAAGCAAACAGGUCAAUUUGGACCAUGUUAGCCAGAGAGAAUUGGUAAGACCAACAAUAUGAAGCAAAGCUAACAGCCUCAGAAAAGAGACACAGAAAGAAAGAGACAGAAGUUGGAAACCGUGUAGUUGCGAGGCGAGCACGCGGUUUCUCUUGGGUCAAUGAAGACUAUCGGGCCAAUUAUUUAUUUUUAUUUAUUUAAUUUUAUUCUUGGUGUGAGAAAAGGCAAUUACCUGAUAUUUCCCUCAGAUCAAUCAAUAAUAUAAUUUUUUUGUUAAAGAAUCAAGGAUAUUCCCUUCUGGCAUGAAAUCCCCACCAUCUACAAAAUCAUUUGAAUACAAAUGCUUAUUAAUAUUCCCAAUAUGAAGUAAGCAUUGACUCAAAAUUCAUUAAUUAGUCACCUCAUCUGCAAAUGCUUCGCCCAAAGAGCAAUAUAACUCUGCACAAAUCACAGCCCAACCCAGUUUUGUUAGGGCAAUUUGCAGUGAUCACAGUGGGUUCCCCAACCUUCUCCGCCUUGCUAAUUACCACAACAUCCUGGAAAGCUCAGUGGCAACAGAGAAAAUGUGAACCAAAACGCACUGCAUGCCAAAGUCAACAAAAUUUCCUGUCCAUGGACUCACUGCAACCUUCUCUGCCUUCCUUUUUUUAUUUUAUUUCUCACUGUGUGUUUCCUAAGAGACUAGUGUGCAAAUAUGAUCAAGUUUUCUACUUGACAAAUUAAAAUCUGUACAAGUACUUCCUAUCUCUUAGCUUGAGCCUUGAAAUAUAAAUAUGAAUUUAACUCGGUAUACCAACUUCAUAUCUCUGUUUUACUAAAAUCACAAGAAAAAAAGGUCCAAAAUGGAUUAAAAUCUGUAAAAAAAUCAUUCUUAUCUUAUAGCUGGAAAGGGAAGAAUAAAUUAAACUAGAGUUGUUGUCAAAUUAUUAAAUAAAGAUCAAAACCAAAUUGUACCAACUUGAGAUCUCUGUUUUAUAGAAGAGAGUCGGGUCAAAGGAAAAUAAAGGUGAAGGAAAUUACCCGAACAACACCCUCCCUAGCUGACAAAACAAGAAUACCUGAACAAGAAACAGCUCCAGGGCACUCCCUCUCCACUGGUUCUUUAAUUUCUUCAAUGUACCUAAAGCUUCUCAUCCAAAAGCUCAUGGUCUGAAAAAUAGCCAAAAAGAAAAGAAUUAAAACAGGGGAGUAAGUACUGAUCUAUUGGAUAAAACGUAAUUCGGCUCUAUAUAGGUUUCAGAAACAAACAAAACUUAAAAAAAAAAAAAAGGUUUUUAGGUCUAAUGGUCCCUAAAUUUUGACCCGAUUUGCAUUUUGGUCCCUUAGUUUCCAAAAUCGUUACCGUGAUCCUUCAACUUCACUUUCGUUAGGACAAAUAGUCCUGCUAUCGAUUUUGUUAUCUUUUAUGUCCAAUGCAUAGGCAAAAUGGUAUUUGUGUAUUAUUUCAAGCAGUUUCUCACUCCUUAUUGCUCAUUUCUUUAUGAGAUUUGUCAAUUUUCCUUUUGCACAUUCAAUACAUGUUUUAUCCUUUUCAUGGUGGUUAAGUGGUGGAAGAAUUGAUUCUUUGCUUAAGAGAUUCAUUCUUUCUUUCGAGACAUGUCCAAGUCUCUUAUGCCACAGUGUGAAUGAUUAUGUAUUACAAGACUAUUUUGAGCUUGUCACAUUUAUCAUCUCUGUAUUUUGAUUUGGCAAUUUGCAGUUCAGACGAAACAUUCCAUCAAUCAACAAUCCGUUACCAAUAAAACUUUUAUAUCUGAAAAUAGAGAAAUCAGACUCAUCAAACUCAAACUUUUACAAGUUUCCUAACUGAUAAGAGGUUCCUUGUCACAGAAGGAACAUAAACGACAUUAACUAAUUCCAAAAUAAAACCUGACUGCAACUCAAGACUAGCUAAACCAACAAAAUCUACUCUUAACUUUUUCUCCAUUUCCCACGAACACCUUCAAGUCAUCCUUGUUGGGCACCCUCUUUGUUUUGAAUCCCUGCAAAGAGUUAGUCACAUGAACUGUUGCACCACUGUCUAACCACCAUGAAUUAGAUAAAACUUCAACUGUAUUAGAUUCAUAAAUCACAUAGAUGUUUUCAUGAUUACCUUUUUCCUUUUGCUUGUCCAACCAACGUUUGUAUCUUCUGCAAUCUCUCUUCAAGUGUCCAAAUUUCUUGCGGAAGAAACACUUCAAACCUACUGGACCCAUGCCCUUCGUAGUCUCAUCUUUCCUUUGCUGCUUAUCUGCAUUCCUGUUUUUGGUCUAUUCAUUUGGUUUGAAUUUAGCAUCCUGAACUAAAUACACUUGUUCUUUGCUUUUGUCCUUUCUAAUACUUUGUUCUUCCUGCACACAUAUACCUCUCAAAUCAGCAACUGACCAUAUCUCCUUCUGAGCAAUAUAAGUAGUUUUCAACUGUCUAUAAAUGUUAGGUAGAGAGUUAAUGGCGUAGUGCACCAUCAUGGUUUCAUCUACAUUGACUUUCAGGUCUUUCAGCUUGUUUCCUAUCUCAACCAUGUUCAGAAUGUGGGUCCUUAUGCAGCCUUCUCCAUUGUAUUUCAUAUAUGUCAGUUGGCUCAUGAGUGUGCCUAUUUCAGCUUUCUUGGAUCCUUAGAAAUUUUCUGCAAUAGCUUCAAUGAACUCCUUAGCAUUCUCAAUUUCAGUAAUACUGCCUCUGACUUCUUCUGAAAUAGAUCUCCUCAUGAUCAGAAUUGCCAUUUUAUUGGCCUUAAUCCACUUUGCAUAUUUUGCCUUAGUCUCAGCAGAUGCAUCAUUUGCAGGCACUGAUAGAGCUUCAUCAUUGAGAACCAUUUCAUAAUCCAGAAGUCCAAGAGCAAUUUCCACAUCUUCUCUCCAUUUCUUAUAAUUUGAGCCAGUGAGAGUUCGAAUCGAGUUAUGAUUGACUGUACGUGUUUUAAAACAAGAUAAGCACUUUAUAUAAACAACUUUCCCCAAAACUUUAAUCAAACAUACUUAACUCACAUCUUUGGACAGUAAAUUAAGCAUGCUUAUUGACACUGGAAAACAAAUAUAUGUGAAUUUCCUAAGCAAAAGAUCUUCCACAUCUUUGGAUAGAAGAAAAUCUUUCAUUAAUCCAUAUCUAUCCAUAUCCCAUGUAUAUCCACCAUGAUAAAAACAUAUCAAACUGCUUACAUCUUUGGACAGAAAGCCUUUCGACAUGUUUUGCAUCAUGAUGCAAAUUUUUAGAUCAUAAACUUUGAAUACAGUGAUCAUGCAGUAAUUGAAUCGCUUUGGCUCACUCAAUCACUACACAAGGAUUGUAAGCAUUGAUCUAUAGAAACCAUAAAGAACAUGAUAAAGUUCAACUUUAUACUGUUAUCAUGUCAUGCUUUAUAACUUAAAACUGUCAGUUUAUUUCUUUUAAUUUUCCUGCACGAGAUUUGUUAGGUAGAACAUGAUAUAACUAGGCUCUGAUACCACAUGUUAAUCUUGUAAGUUGUAACACGUUGAAUACUAACUUGAGUCCGACAUGGUGCUGGAGCAGAUCAAUUUGCACAAAGCUAUGGAAGGUUCUUCUCCUUAGAUACUGAUCUUUAUAGCUAUAUGAUGGGUGAAUUUCUAAUUAGCUUAGGUGUAUCGGAUCUAGGAGGGAGCCUUCUAUUUAUAUGCAUCUAUCUAAGUGUCUUGUCCAUCAAGAAACACUUAGAGAUAUCCUUCAUGUGAUAGAAUUAAUAUGUUCCAAUCCUUGUAGAACUAGGAACCCUUAAGCCUUUUAUUAACCAUCUUAAACACUGUUUACAGGCUGCCUAAUCGAGAUGGGUUUUGGGUCUUUGAUAAAUAAUAAGUCUUUGCAAUCCUUUAUUGAUUAGAAGAUCACUUCAGUAGGUUUAAGGCAAUAAACCUUCUUACAGUUUUUCCACCUUGCAGGACAUAUAGUGCCUUAGUUUGGUUGGUUUUUCUUGUUCUACAUGGUAUGUAUUGAUACUGCAUCAUUUUGAAUUCUUACUGUGUAGCUGAUUGAUCUGAUUUUUAAUUAAUUUCAUGAGGUAGGUCCACAUUGGGUUUUGCAUAUUUGCGGCGAUAGCUCCUCCAAUUGUCUUGAAUGGGAAAUCAUUGAUCUAAGUUCUACCCUUUACCUUUUUUUAUUUAUUUUUAUUUUUUCGUUGUUAGUGUUUUCGUGAUUUUGUUUGUGUCUUGAGUAUAAUAUUCUCUAGUCAGUUGGCUGAGCAAUGACAAUUUAGCAUGGAAAUUACUACUAAGUCAUAGUACAUUUUGACAAGCCAUCCGUGAAAGGAAAAUGACUUGCCUUAGCUUUUGCAUUAAACACAUAUUUCAGCGAUUGGAAGUGUAACACUAAUAACUGAAAUGGGGAAGCGCCAUCCUGAAUUGCAAAAAACUGAGCAUCAACAUGUCUACUUGAGUUUCCUUGCUGGAAAAUAUUCAUUUAGCAUGAGCAGUAUGAUAACUAUAUUGUCUGGAAUUUUGGGUACCUUAAAUUUUUUUGUAUGGCUUUUACAUUGACUAAUACCUAUGCAUAGGUACAUUUAGAGGUCGUCAACGGGCUUGGCCCAAAUUUUAUGGGCUUGAAUUGGACGGGGUUGGGCUUCAAAGAGGUAAGAGAAAAUAAUGAGUCAGGUCGGGUUGGUGUUUUUCAGAAAAUUCAAAGCCAAGCUUGCCCCAUGAGCUAGGCCUAAGAAAGCCCACCAGGCCGUACUGGGCCGGGCCCCUCCAAAUAGACCUACUUUGUUUUUCUCUUCUUUUUUGCGGAAUAAAUCUUUGUCCACAUACGAAAAAGGAAAUGUUGGCCAUCAUUUUUGCAAUGGAGAAAUGGCCGCCGUACCUCGUCGGAUCCCACUUCAAAAUCAUCACUGACCACCAGACAUUAUGCCACCUCCAUGAUCAGCGUAUUACCACACCGGCACAACACAAAUGGCUCGCCAAGUUGCUAGGCUACAAUUACACCUUAGAAUACAGAGCAUGGAGUCUAAAUAAAGUUGUUGAUGCUUUGUCUUGUCAAUCCAAAGAUGUUACCCUUCUCGCGAUUUCUACUCUAGUGUUUGAUGGUAUUGUUGACAUUAACAAACAAUUUUGUUUUAGAAUUAUUUCGUAACAUUUGCUUUGGCUCGAAUAAGCGUGAAGAAACUUCAGUUAAGUCAAGGAAAUAUUGAAUCACACCAUUUGCACUUACUUCAACAAAGGAAGCGUGGACCUCUUCAAUAAAAGAUUUAUUUAUUUAUUUUUAUAUAGAUCUGCACUCCCUGGGAUCUAUAAACCUUUUGGAUAUCAUUAACCAAAGAGAUACGUCUUUGUACUAUAGUUAGCUCAGCAUAACCAAUUAUUCGUGAUUGAUUAGAUCAUUGAUGCAAAAAAUAUCCAAACCUCUAUAAAAUUUCUUAAAAGUAAAAGUAUAAGAAGCUCUUGGAAAGAUCGAAUAGACAAGUAAUUCGCCUUAUUAAUAUCUCAAAUCAAUGAUGGGUUCUGCAAUAUUUUGUUCAUUAGUUACUCUAGAUUAUUUCAUUUCCAUGUAAAGAUCAUUUUCUUCACAAGUACGCUCACCUACUUUGCCAAAUAUGGAUACACCCCCAUGGGCUUUGGCAAUGUUGAUCAGUUUGCCCUCUACACUUCUGAUCCCGAUACUAUCACCAUUAUUCAUGCUCUUAGUACCAACAUCACAGCGCCAUCAGGCUUCUCUUUUAAGAAUCAACUCUUCUUGUAUCAGAAUCUCAUUUUUGUACCCCAUACGUCAGAUUGGCAUCUCAACAUUUUCAUCGAAUUUCACUCUUCUCCUGUGGCAAGCCACUCAUGGACUGAUCACUACUCACCUCGUCACUAUCCGUUGCCGUUUUGCUUUCCUUGAAGGCAACUUUAGCCAUUCUAUCCUUAUGGUUCAGUUAUUUACCUUUUCUUACGUGGCAACCAACAGAUUGGCCCUAACAAACCUUUGUAUAAAUUGCUAUAGCAUCAAUGAGAAAAGGCAGGAUAGAACUUUGCCAAUUACUUAUUUAUCUAUUUCAUUUCCUAUGUUUUCAAUACUCUGUACUAAUACCUAUCACAAGGCCUCCUAGCCAACCGAGUACUUGGAGGAGCUACGCAAUCUGGAAGAUCUAUGGAAGGCUGCUUUUCCUGUUGCGUCAGAGUGGGAUAAUUUGGACAAUGUGUAUCGAUUCUAGUGGGAUUCCCACAAAUCUCAAACAAGCAUCCGAAAAAAGGGGUAGGCUGUAUGGGAUUGGGAACGUCAACAAAGUCUAUCUCGUUGGCGGUACGGAGCUCAACACAUCCCUUUCAAUGGAAACAUAUAUUUUACAAAAAAAUUAGCAUUUUUAUUAUAGAUAUCUAUCUUGUCUAUCUACUUACAAGACCAAUAUCAACGUGAUAUUUUAUGUCACCAGUCUUUAUGAGAUAAAGUGAGAUACUCAAUAAUUUCAAUUUUUAUAUAACUAAUGGAGGAAUAGAAGUUCCUCAGUUUUUAUUCAAUCAUGUAAGGGCCAGAAGAUUCCUAGAUUUCAAUCCUUAUAAUAUAAAUAUUUGUGGACUUGAAGUUCCCCAAUUCUUAAAAGGCAAAUGAAGACCUGAAGCUCUUGGAUUUAUUUUUCAUUGGAACCAGAAGUUUCAAUAAUUUAUUUUAUUGCAAUAUUUUAAUUUUUGUUGUAUUUUAUUUUUACUUAGUUCUUUUCUUUAGUGUUAUUUUUGUUUUAUGCAAGGACCCGAAGCCCCUAAAUUAUUUAAUUAAAUAAAGACCCAAAGUCUCUUAGUUCUCAAUCCAUAUAAUAUCUAUACAAGGACUUGGAGUACUGCAAUUCUCAGAAAGUAAAUCAAGACUUGGAGUUCUUUGAUUUUUCUCUAACUUGGAACCAGAAGUUCCAACAAUUUAUUUUAUUUCAUUAUUUUAACUAUUAUUUUAUUUUUAUUGUUAUAUUCAGUUAUUUGUUUUCAUUUCAAUAAUUUAUAUUUAAGGACCUGAAGUUCCUCAUAUGAUACAAAAUUCAGAUAUCUUAUAACCCGAAGUUCUUAUUAUGUAUAAUCCAAACUAUAAGUUUCGGCCAUAUGGGCAUUAAAAUAGGUAAAUUCUAGAACAUGAAGUUCUAAUUGUGUCAACCUCCAAAUUGAUAUUUCAAUAAGUGCAUAUGUAUUAUGAUUUUGGGCUGAAAAAUAUACAUCAUGAUAAGAACCUGAAGUUCCAACAUUAUUUGGAUUCAUGUCUUCUAUUUUUUUUAUUUUAUAAAUUUUAUUGUAGUUUUAUUUUUAUUACCUUGAACAAUUUCAUAUUACUACAAAUUUGGAUAUGCAGUUGAAAACCAUAUAUUCUUUUUAAUUUGAUAUAUGCACCCGAACCUGAAGUUUCAGAUAUAUGUUAAUAUAUAUCCAAAGUUCAUAAUUGUCUAUUGAGAUUAGUAUUAAUAUGAACACGUAGUUCAUAUCUUGUCAAGAACCUGCAGUUUUGGCAUAACAUAAAUAAAAUGUUAAUUGAACCUGAAGUUCAGAAUCAAAUGACCUUUUUUUUUUUUUUCUUUUAUCUUUAUCAUGGUUUCCAUAGUGGAAUCAAAAGAUUGGAACUUUCAAGUUCAUUGGUUCUUAGUUUUUAUUAUUCUUAUAUUUUAUUAGAACUUGUAGUUCUAUAUCACACAAUCUAAUUGGAACUAAAAGUUCUUCAAUUAUCAUAUCUAUGCUAUUGCUAUCAAAUUGAGACUGAAAGACCUUUGAUUCAUAUUUAGUUUUGAACAUAUUCUUAAAAUCAAUACUUUUAUAUAAUCUUUUUGAACUUGAUGUUCAAGAUCAAAUUCAGUCUAUAGCCAUUAGUUUUAUUUAUGACUUGCUAGAACCCGAAGUUCUAUACUUUAAAACUUGAAGUUCAAAACUUUUUAAAAUUUCAGUUUAUAAUAGAAAUUUACGAAUAUCUUCAUAUUAGAACAUGUAAUUUUAUAAAUUAAAUUUAUAUUAAAACCGUUUGAUAUAUUCAAUUUAUCUUUAUAACAUUCUAUUUUAUGUUUCAUAUUUUAUCAUAUUUUAUUUUUAUUUUUAGAACUAGAUGAGAUUAUUAUUGUAAGUUUUUUGUUUUAUUUUAAAAAAUUAAUACUACUUUAUUGUCUUUGUGAAUUAUUUAUUUAUAUCUUAUUUGGACCAGAAGUUUCAUGUUAUGCAAUUAGUUGAAAUUAGAAGUUUCAUUAUACAUAUUUGAAAUACAAAAUUUAAUUUGAGAUUAUAAAAAUAUGAACUAUUUGAAAUGACAUACUUAAUUCAAAACCUGAAGUUUUGAUUACACAUUUUAAUCAAAACCUGGAGUUUCGGAUAUUUAAUUUGUAUUAUGAACCAGAAGUUAUCUCUAAACCAGAAGUUAUGGAUUUUAAAAUUUUAAGUCCACAAAGAAUGUUUUAAGUAUAUUAUAUGAACCAGAAGUUCAAUUAAUUUUUUUUGUUUCUUUUUUUCAUGGAUAUAAAAGUGGAUAUUCUUAUAUAUAUAUAUAUAUAUAUAUAUAUAAGAAAGAAAAUAGAAAUCCAAGUAGGAUUGUAAUGUGGAAGAGUAUAAAGGAAUAAAUUUAUCCUUUCAUAUUCCAGGUGCUCUAGUAGUAGCAAUAUGGAAAAUAUGAUGUGUUUCAAUUGUUGGUAAAUAGAAAGUCUUUAUUAUGCAUCCACGAAUUUCAUAUGAUUGGAUCUAUUAUUUCCUAAAGAAAUAUAAUCAUUACAUAAUUCCCUGAAGAGAAUGUAAGCUCUAUAUCAUUUUCCGAAACAAAUAUCACUUACACAUUAUCCCAGAAGUGAAAUGUGUUUUAAGUUAAAUAGUAUAAAUGGAUGGUCUUGUAUGACAAAGCCUCCGAGAAUUAUGAUAUUUAUUGUUAGUGAAACAACACACACAACUAUUUGAGUUGAUUGAGCUUAAUUACCACUCAAUUUGGUAAAUAUCAUAGUAGGUUAUUGACAAGUCAAAUUAUGUACUUACAAUGUUUGAUAUUACUUAGUUCCAGAAGAAAAUUACAUAGCUUCAUACAUGCACACAAUUGAGUUAAUGUUGAAAUUAUGAAUAAACAUGACUGGUACUUAUGGUCUCGUGCUAGAAGCAUAUUAAUAAUAAUUUGCUACAUAUGAACUCAUUUUUUGAUUAGAACCAAAAGUUCUUUGAUCUGUAAUAAUUUAUGAUGUGAAAAUUUUAUUUUUGAUUCAAUAGUUUUGGAGACUAUGGUAUUUAUGUUACACUAUAUAUUAAGCGAACUUGAAGAUUUUGCUUCACGUUAUCAUCUUUAUAUUAUUUAUAUUUAGUCCCUGAAGGACAACACUUACCACUCCAAUCAAAUAGUGUUAUUUUGAUGAGACCAAUUUUCUGUCGUUAGGGGGAAAAAAGGUUGUUCUUGAAGAACGACGUGAAUUGUUAUGAAAGGUUGUUCCUGAAAAACGACGUGAAUUGCCAUCUAAUGUAAAAGUAAGAUAUGAAAGAAAUCGCAAUCUAGAAGAUUGCAAGUCAAAUGCUAGAAGCAUUUAAAAACACAGCUGAAGUGAUAGAUCACAUGAAAAUGUUGAUGUCUUAAUUAGGCAAUCUAAAGUGGUGGCAAAUGAUUUAUCUAGUUAUGUGCCUAAGUAGUCAACAAUGGGCUUGACUGAAGUUGAGACUAUAUUGAAAGGUCCAUGCAUCCUAAAUAAUAUAAUACUAAAUGAAAUAUCCACAUUUCCUAUAUAUUUAAUAUCGGAAGAGAUACAAUCUUAUAAGAAGACAUAAGUCCAUUAGAAAACAAUGAAAGCCCUUGAAGAGGCACGGGUACCCAAUGACUAUGAAAAUGUCUAUAUCUUAUGCAUGCAUGAAGAGAAAUGUGGGUUUAUAAAUUGAUGAUUAUCAAUGAUACUGUUUAUAUAUAGUACGUACUAAAGUUAUCAAUGACUAUGAUGAUAUUGAUCCGCAUUUUAUUAUGAUUGUUGACAAUAUAAGGAAAGAUUGACCAAACUGGAAGAGGCAGUCCAGUAAAAUUGAAUAUUUUUGAAAAACGUGAAAGAAAUGGACCUAGAGUUCGAACACCAAAAGAUAUGAAAUUGUAUAGGUUACAAAUCGGUGUUUGUGAUGAAGUGAAAUAAAAUCACUUGAUAUGGCAAAAUGUAUCCAUGUAAAGACAUGAAAUUUUUAUGAUAUUCUCCUAGUACAUUAUGUAGAUGUAGCCAUAUUUCUUCUUACGAAGCAUGUUCACUGCAUAUUUAUGGAGACUUGCAUUUAUAUGAAAAUCUAAAAAGAUUAUGAAGUGAAGUAUAUCGCCAGAAGCGAUCUUUUGAAGAAUGCAUAGGAAUUAAUUCUGAGAGAUAUAAAAUGUCAUACAUUAUGUUAAUUAUUGAAAGAAAAUCUCUAAGAAGUUAAGGACGCUGAAGCUCAAUGUCUAUACUCAAUUUUUAUGAAAUGAAAAUGAUCUAAUUGCCUCAAGUGAGUGCAUUGAUUAAGUUAUGAAUUUUAAUUCAAUUUCAAUAUAGUUACAACGUAUUCAAAUUUUUAAAGAAGUUAUCAAAAUAUUUAGGUCUAUUGAAGAGCCUAUGACAUGCUAGCAUAGUAUACAAAAAUUUAUAUGAAUAACUUAUUACAUCAUGCAAUUUUAUACUCUUAUCCUUGUAACGGUAACGUAUGAGUUUGCUUAUAUUAUUAUGAUACUAUAGAAUAUGAUAUUAUUUUAAGAAUUGUUAAUAUAAAAGGAUUUGUGAAAAUAGUCUUGAUAUUUUUGUUAUUACUUUAACCUCAACAGGGAUUCAAAGGGAUAACAAACAUACAUCCUCCAAUGACGAUAUUGAAGAAAUUUUUGUACAAAGCAUUACCAAAGCUUGCUCUGUAGGUGGAAAAUGAGAUUAAAGAGUUUUAUUCAAUUUAGAUUAUGUUUCUGUAGGUAAGGGCUUUACUUGUUGGGCCAUGCUCAAAUAUAAGUGAGAUUUAAAAAAUAAAAAAACCAACCCAUUAGUAAAACGCAUAGUUUCUCUAAAAGGAGGCAGCCACCAAAACGAUGUAUAUUCAAUUAGGUCCUCUUCUUCAUUUGGUUGGUGCCGCCGAAAGUUGUUGGAGCAAAUGCAAUCCAGAAAACAGUGAGAUGCAAACAACACUCUUAUUAGCUCUCUUAUCCUGAAGUGAGGGAGUGCGGCUGGCUAUCUCUGUAGAUGUCACGAAGCCUAAGAAGAUGAGGCUGGUUUGCUGGGUAACGUAGAGAGUUUUUUUUAUUUAUUGGCUUGGCAUCAUAGAUUCGGCCAGCUGGCUGGUAAAAUUUUUGGCUGGGCGGCCCUGUGUGUUGGUCUGUCACUGUAUCCCAAAAUAAAAGAAUGAAAAUUUGCAUAAUCUCGAUAGAAACUUUAAUAUAGUUAGAGGUGGUGGGUUUGCAACACUUUACAAAGUUCAGAUAAUUAAAAAUAAAAAAUAAAAAUUCAGGUGGUAAUAAUACAUAUGCUUACAAGUUCUGAUUGUAUUUAUACAAAUUUCCCAACAACAAAAAUGAAGUUGUUAGGUGGAGAGAUAGGAACAUGUUUCAAAUUUCGAUCACUGUAGAUGAUAAGUACAUUAUCAUCCGAAGUUUGAGUGUGGUUCUAAUUCAAAACUUUCACCUGACAUAUCUUUUUUAAAUCAUGAAUUUGGUUUGUUGAAAGAACUUUAUUCAUUGAGGGAGCAACACAUCUGUGUCAAACAAUACUAACAAAAUAAGCACAAGACACAUAGUACAAUAUUUCAAGUCAUAUUUUGAAAAUAGAGUGUCUUUAACUAGAAAAACUUGUAUGAAACAAGGAUAGCACUGUUUCGCUAUUCCUAGCCAAUCACAUAUUAUCACGUGAAAAAGUUAUCAUGUGUGGCAUGUCGCAAUUGGUCGGGGAUAGCAAAAUAGUGUCAUCCCCGUUUCACACAAAUAUUUCUCAUAUUUAAUAGGGGAAAAUCAGAGUGUCGUGCAUCAUCGAUUUUGGCUGAAUGUGGAUAAUUAUUAUUAGGUGACAUGGAAGCACGUGAGACCAUUGAACCUUCCAUGUGCAUAGCAUACCCUAAUAUCAUAUUAGAAUAUGAGUAACCAACCCAAAACCAAUAGACAAUAGAUAAUGAGGCCUAAAAUCUUUUAAACACUAAUUCAAUGAGAAUUGCAACAAUGUCAAUCAAAUAAUUUAUGUUUUCUAUUAUUUAUUUCACUUUGGAUAUCCUUAUGGACAUAUGGUUUCUGGUUUAGUGGUCUAUUAAAACUUGGGCUAAAGCCCUAAAUCCUAAAGCCUAUGCGCAACUCCGCUGAACAAUACGAACUGUAAACCUAACUCAAAAUACUAAGUUCCAAAAUCAUACAUUUUCCAUAUAAAUUUAUUUCCCACAAAAAUCAAGUCUACGAACAUGUCUGAGUAGAAUUUACAUAAAGCAACAGUUUCCUUCAUCAAAGCAUGAAGCUAUAGUAUUGACAACCGUAGAAGUUGGUAUAUAUGUUCCUAUUCCUUCAAUCAAUAACCAAGUCUACUCUUUAUAUACAAUUUUUUUUAUAGGUUGGUGGAGAUGUCUAACAACGUUUAGAUCUAAACUCAAUAUUGCUUGCAUCCUUAAAUACUUUAUAUGAACAAAGCAAGAAAAAGAGAGAAGAGAAUCUGUUCAUUCAAUUUUGGUGAAGUAAAAACCAUAGGUGACAGAAAUUAAUGGGAAUGAUGGGCAAAAUAGCAAGCUCCAUAACCAUCACAACAGGCAGCUGGAAAAAUAUUUAGGGCUGGAAUUUUAGACUGAUUAACUGAUAAACCAACCAAAUUGGACUGAUCUUUCACUUAAAUUUUUUAUUUUGGUGAAUAAACUGACUUGAACCGCUAUGACUCGAUCCGGUUGCCAAUUCACCAUCUCCCAAACUCCCGGUUUGCUGAACCAAACCGACCUACCACUUAGCGUGACAAAUAUUGUAAACAUUAAGCGCCCAAGGAGACUCCAGCACAUGACCUGCUAGCUGGAAUGAAGGGUGUUACGACUGUACUAAUUACUCUUUUGUGAAAUACAAGCAUAAUCAUGAUAUUUAAAAGACUCCUAGAAAAAUUAUAAAAAAUAUUAUUAAAAUGUUAGGGUUUUAACCCUAACACUCCCUUAUAUCUCCAGUCGCCUCCUCUUAUUCUUCCUUUCUAUUUUUCUCCUAGGGUUUCUUCUUCUCAUCUUCUCUUCCUAACGCCGCAGCCCCACAUUUCCUUUUUUUUUUUCCUCCGAACGAUCACUUCUUCUCCUCCUCUUCUAUUCCUCGACGACAUCGCUGCACAUCUGCCUUUUAUUCUCCGAGUAGUUUAUUCUUCUUCUUCUCCUCUUAUCUCUCUCUCUCUCUCUCUCUCUCUAUGUCUGCCCCAGAGAUUUUCGGUGUUUUCACAAAACCUGUUUCAUCCAAAAAUAAUUGAUGAUUUCAUAAAUAAAAAACCUUAUGCAAUGACAAAAUUAAUCUCAAAAAAUGUAUGCGCAGGCUAAUCUCAAAGGCUAACUUUGCCAUUUGGAUAAAUAAAACAUUUAUAUAAAAUAUCAAUCUUUGGACCAAAAAAUAUUCAUUUUUCAGCUGACAAUAUACUUACUGAUGACAAAAUAGCUUGCACUGGUUGGUGGAGAUAUCUAACAACGUUUAGAUCUAAACUCACUAUUGCUUCACUAGUACGAUUUACUAUUUGCGCGACGAAAGUUUGCGCGACGAAGACGUUUUCGUCGCGCAAACAACACUAUUGCGACGAAAAGGACAGAAAACUAGCGGGACAAAACUAAUCGUCGCGCAAAAAGUGUAUGCGCGACCUAUAUUUAUUUCGUCGCGCAAAGGAAAUAGAAAAAAACCCGGUUUUUGUUUUGGCGCCAAAACCUUGCGCGACGACAAAAAUCGUCGCGCAUGCCAAUAUUGCGCGACGAAUAAAAGAUUCGUCGCGUAAAGAUGGACAGAAAAAGUGGCCCCUUUUUGUUCGCGGGUAAAAAAUUUGCGCGACGGAAGUUUUCGUCUCAAAAGACAACUUAGCGCGACGAACAAUUGUACCGUCGCGUAAGAAAACGAGGGAUACUUUUUUUUGCCGCCAAAAUGAAGGGCGGGUAAAACUUUUUUUGCGCGACGGAUUUUCGUCGUCGCAAAAAGUUGAAUGCCGGUGAGUUCUUGCGCGACGAAAUUAAAAAUUUGCGCGACGAAAUCAGAAUUUUGCGCGACGAAAUGUAAACCAUGUGCGACGAAAAAUAUAAUUUGCGCGACGAAUGUUUGUGCGACGAACAGUAUUGUUCGUCGCGCAAAAAAGCAGAUGUCGGCACGUAUUUGCGCGACGGAAAUGUUGUUUUGUGCGACGGAAAAGUGUCCUUUUGCGACGGCUGUUUGCGCGACGAAUUUUACUAUUCGUCGCGCAAAGUCCUUCUUCUUCAUAUUAGUAUUUGCCAUUGCAGAGGCAGAAUGCAGAAAUUGCAUUCUGCCUCUCUCUCCUCUCUCUCACUCCUCCUGCCGCUGCUCUGCUGUGAAUUCAGUACGUUAAUUGGAUAUGUAUUUUUUGUCAUUAGUUUAAAUGUAUUAAUGUAAAUUCGUACUAACGCUAUUAAUUUUGUUCUCGUUAGGCAUAUCUGUGAUUAGUGGAGAACGAUUGAGAAGGUAUGUCAUUGUAAAAGUUUGUUUGUUAAGUUUGUAAUUUUUUUGUCAAGUUUUAUGUGUAUAAUGUUGUGAAAUUGUGCGUGACGUAGCACAAUGUAUUUGUGAUGUACGAAGUUAAUUGAAAUUAACUUCGUACUUUUAUUUUUAUGUUUAGUAACACGUAGUUUCCCGUUCGAGAUUAGUUGGAUUUCGUGCAUGGAUGCGUAAGGCAUGACUGCGGUCCAAUUAAUUCUUGAAUUGUCCCAUUAUUUGGACAGUUUGGUAAUGCAUAGUGUUGUCACAUAAUCUUCGGCUACAGGAUUAGGUUUCGAUUGUGGAGAUUUCGGUGUCAUCUCGGUACGUUCUUCGGGUGGUACGUAGGUAUUUAUACCUAUGCCCACUUCAAGAACUGUGUCGAGAUGCUGCCGAAAUUAAUCCACGUCGAAAUCUAAUCUCAUGUAGCCGUAGGUUACGUGACAGGACUAUGCAUUCCCGAAUGGGAUAGGGCCCUUACCGGAGGCAUAAGGUGACAUUAUAACUUCGUAUGAAGUUGUUGUGAUUGUUGUGUCGUGAUUGUGGUUUCAGGAAUUAUGAGCAGAAGGUGGAUACAGAACCCGAAUAGAUGCGCAGACGAAUACUUGGAUGGAAUCGAGGAUUUUAUUGAGUUUGCACGUAGACACAAUCCGGGUGCAACUAGAAUCCGUUGCCCUUGUAGGAGGUGUAACAACACGUUGUGGGAGACAAUUGAAAAUGUUGGAUUUCAUUUAGUAAGGAAUGGAAUGAUUGAAACAUAUAGCAUUUGGAAUCUUCACGGCGAACAAGUAGACCAUGCUUCGUCUUCAAAUGCCCCAAGAGUGGACAAUGUUGAACCUAUUGUGGAUCCUAAUGAUCAAGUCAUGGGUAUUAUACAGGAUGCUUUUCCAUUCGCAUCGACCAACAUCAAUCAGGAAGGGGAAGAUGACGUGCCUACACCAAUAGACAGUGCGGAGUUUGAACAGUAUGAAAAACUGUUAAAAAAUGCCAACCAAGAGUUAUACCCGGGGUGCGAGAGCUUUUCCGUUCUCACUGCCAUUGUGGAGCUAAUGCACGGAAAAAUAAAGUAUCGUAUGUCGAACUUGUGUUUCGAUUACUUUUUGGGGGUUUUCAAGAGAAUGCUUCCGACGGACAAUUGUUUGCCGAAAGAUCAUAAACAUGCACAGAAGGUGUUGCACGGUCUUGGAUUGGGUUAUGAAAAAAUCCACGCUUGCAAAAACAAUUGCAUGUUAUUCUACAAAGAGCAUGAAACGUUGGAUACAUGCCCUAUAUGUAAUGAGUCGAGGUUCAAAAUGACAUCCCAGAAUAGAACGACUAAGAUACCACAAAAAGUCAUGCGUUAUCUGCCCCUUAAACCUAGGUUGCAGCGAUUGUAUAUGUCGACGCAUACUGCCACAGACAUGAGAUGGCAUAAGGAAAAACGGGUAGACGAUGAUGUGAUGCGGCAUCCUGCAGAUGGGGAGGCAUGGAAAGAGUUCGAUCGAACGUUCCCCGAGUUUGCUGCUGAUCCCCGAAAUGUUAGAUUGGGACUUGCCACUGACGGAUUCAAUCCGUAUGGGGUUCUAAACCAACACCACAGCACUUGGCCGAUUUUCGCAUUCCCAUAUAAUUUGCCGCCUUGGAAAUGCAUGAAAAAAGAAUACAUGAUGAUGACUGUUUUGAUAACUGAGGAUCCUGGCAGGUCAAUUGAUGUGUACUUAAGGCCUCUGGUUGAUGAGCUGAAGGAUUUAUGGACAAACGGUGUUUGCACAUACGAUAAAUCAACUGGGAGGAUGUUCACUUUGCGAGCAGCAGUUAUGUGGACUGUGAAUGAUUUUCCAGCAUAUGCAAUGGUUUCUGGGUGGAGCACAAAGGGUUAUAUGGCAUGUCCUGUAUGCAAGGAAGAUGUAACUUCUGGUUGGCACGCGGGAAAAGUUUGUUACCUUGGUCAUCGGAGAUGGUUGCCAUGGGACCACGAGUGGCGAGAAAAAGAUAAAGAGUUCGACGGGAACACAGAGCGUCGCCUCAGACCUAGAGAAUGGUCCGGUGAUGAGAUCUUGGAACAGCUGAACCGUUUGGAUUUUGCUCCGUUCGGGAAAACAGUUAGUCGGACCAGACCUUCUACACAUUUGAACUGGACGCACAAGUCUAUGUUUUUUGAGCUCCCAUAUUGGUCGAAACUGAAAUUGAGGCACAAUCUAGAUGUGAUGCAUGUUGAGAAAAAUGUAUUCGACACAUUGGUGGGCACGAUUCUAGAUAUCGAGGGAAAGACGAAGGACACGAUCAAAGCUCGUCUUGAUUUGGAAAGAAUGGGCAUACGAAGGGGUUUAUGGAUGAAUAGGGACAGUGAUAAAGCUAGAAGGGAUCUUGCAUUCUUCUCUAUGAAACCGAAUGACAAAAAAGAGUUUCUAAAGUUUGUAUCGUCUGUCAAAUUUCCCGAUGGGUAUGCUUCUAAUAUCGCACGUUGCGUGAAUGUCGAUGGGGGUAAAUUUACUGGACUUAAGAGCCAUGACUGCCAUGUGUUUAUGCAACGCCUACUUCUUGUGGGUAUUCGACACCUACUGCCGGAAGAUGUGGUGAAGCCAAUCAUCUUGUUAUCCAGAUUUUUUUCCCAACUGACGGCAAAAACAUUGCGAAGGACGGACAUGUUUCAGUUGCGCCAUGACAUUGUCCAAGUCCUAUGCAAGUUUGAGAUGAUAUUUCCUCCAGCUUUCUUCACAAGUAUGAUGCAUGUGAUGGUUCACUUGCCAGAAGAGGCAUUGCUUGCUGGUCCUGUCAACUAUCGCUGGAUGUAUCCAAUAGAAAGGUAUAUAAUCAUUUUCCUUUGUGUAUGCAUCAUUAUCACAGGCUUGCUAAUUUGUAUCAUAUCUUUUUAUUUUGACAGGCUUCUCGGAGAGUUGAAAAAAAGUGUACGCAACAGGGCGAAGCCCGAAGGAUCAAUUAUAGAGGCUUGGGUUCAAUAUGAGUCGCUUACUUUCUGUGGAAUGUAUUUAAAAGAUGUGGAGACGGCUUUCAAUCGUCCUCAGCGUAAUAACGACGGAGGUAUGAGAAAGGAAAAACUUUCUGUUUUUGCCCAAAGCGCACGGCCCUUUGGAGAUCCUGGACGAGGGGAGUCAUUUUCUAGAAAUGACAUGGAAGUAGCGCAUUGGUUCGUACUGAACAAUUGUGAUGAGAUAAUGGCAUACUUAGAUGAGCAUGAAGAGAUGAUGAAGCGAGAAUAUCCAUCACAUUUAGUUGCCCAGAAACAACGUGAAUUAUUUCCACAAUGGUUUUUGGAAUCUGUAAGUUAUAAGUGUUUUGUAUUUGACAAAUAUAAAUUGUUGUAUUUAAUUUUAUCAGACUAACAUGUGAAUGAUUUUCUAUUAUAUUAGGUGAAUAAGUUGAAAUCAUCGAAUUCCCCCACUUACAGUGAUGAGUUAUAUAACUUGGCCUUCGGCCCGAUUCGCGCUGAAUUGUUUUCGGGUUGUUAUAUUAACGGCGUUAAAUUUUUGGGGGCUGCACGAGAUGACAAGUUGUGUACGCAAAACAGCGGUGUCCAUGUCCCAGGUGGAGGCGAAAGUACGAACAUUGAUUUCUAUGGCAAACUCACAAAUGUCGUUCAAUUGCUUUACAAAGAUCGAUACCAAGUGAUCAUGUUUAAGUGUCGAUGGUUUGAUAGCAACCCAAAUAGGACGGGAAGUGUUAAAAUCGACCAUGGCUUACUAUCUGUGAACAUUAACAGAACUUGGUAUGAUGACGACCCUUACAUUUUGGCGAACAUGGCAACACAAAUUGUGUAUCUAGAUGACCCUAAAGCCGGCAGCAGUUGGAAAGUUGUUCAGAAGAUGGAUCAUAGGAACGUGUAUGCUAUACCAGAACUAGACCUAACUGACAACGACGUCGACAAUGUGGCUGACCAACGUUUAGAAUCAUCAAUGGAAAAUGAUGCGGAAACACUUCGAGAUACACAUGUUAUACAAGAACCGUUUCAAAUCCAAGGAGUGUCUUCAAUCGAAAUACCGAUUCAGUCAAUUACAAUUGACCUCGGGGAUCUUCCAAGAUUCGAUGUUGCAGUGGGCAUGAGCAGCGAAGAUGAUGUAAUUAUAGUAGACGAGGAGGAGGAGGAUUGGGAGACCGAAAGUGAUGAUAGCGACGAUAACGAAAGUUAUUAUAGUUCAGAUGAUGAAUAAUUAAAUUUGAUGUAAUUUUAUUACGUUACUGUACAGAUUUGGUGUAAUACAAAUGUUUGAAUAUAUAUAGUACAAAUAUCCAAACCUUAUAGAUGUGGAAAACUGACACUUUAUUCAAAUAAUUUUAGUUAUAAAACAUUGGUAAAUCAAUAUAUCCAAACCCUUUUAAUAAUCAUUUUUAAUUUUUAUUUUUGACAAAACAAAUUUUUAAAAUGAAAAUGAUACAAAAUUUGUUAUAAAACAUUGAUCAAUAAACAUUUUUAUAUAGAGUUUGAAAACUAUUGACAAUAAACAUUUUGCAAAACAGAAAACCCUUGCGCGACGAAGAAGACCUCGUCGUGCUAUUUUUGCGCGACGAAGAAACCCUCGUCGUGCAAAGUUUGCGCGUCCCAAAAUACACUAGUCGCGUGAAGUGAAAACAUUGCGCGACAAAGUGUCUCCCGUCACGCGCAAAAGUUUGCGCGACGAUAAAACUAUGUUCGUCGCGCAAAUAUAUAUCAUUUUAUAAUAUAUUUUACAUAUACACAUAUAUAUUUGAAAUUGACGAUCGAGUUGGAGUAUUGUAUUCAUAUAGGGUCAUGGAGUGUAGGUGUAAAAAUUCAUCAAAAUCAGAGUUAAAAUAACUGUUAAAUCAUCAGUUUUCAUUUAUAACCGUUCACAAGUUUUGUCCCGUUACUUGAUCUCUGAAUGUUUUAUUUUUUCGAUUUUUGGGGUGUAAGAUCUCGAAGUACAAAUAAACCAGUUUGACGGCUGGAUUGCUGAAACUACUUUUGUAGAAUGCGUUUGCCAUAUCAACCAUAUAUUCACAAACAAUAAAUAGUUUACAUAUACGUUCGUUAAAUAUAACAUCACCUUAUGUCAUAUCACCCUAGUGUAAACAUCUGAAAUUGAAGAUCAAAUUCACUAAUUGUAUUCAAAUAGGGUAAAGAAAAGUAGCUGCAAAAAAUUAUACAAAUCAGAGCUAAAAUAACCGUUAAAUCAUGACUUUUCAUUUACAACCGUCGAUAAGUUUCGUCAUGUUACUCGAUCUCUUAAAGUUUGUUUUUGUCGAUUUUUGGCAUAUACGAUCUCGAAGUGUAAAAAAACAAGUUUGCCGGUUGGAUCAUGAAAACUAGUUUCGGGUUGAGGGUUUCUGCGGUUUAGGGUUUAGGGCUUAGGGUAAAGGGUUUGCGCGACGAAACGACGUAUUUGGUCGCGCAAGACCUGCAAACGACUGAAUUGCGCGACGAAUACAAGUCAGUUCGUCGCGCCAUACCAGCCAUAACCUUCACAUUUUACUCUGUCCCCCCUUGGACACUUAGUGGAAAUUUUUUUAGGGUUCUUGCGCGACGCAUUAGAUUCCCUUCGUCGCGCCAUAUCAGCCAAUAUUUCACAUUUCACAUUUGCCUGUCUUCCUCCCUGGACACUUAGCGGAAAUUUUCUUGCGAGGUAUUGCGCGACGAACUGACUUGUAGUACGUCGCGCAAUCUCAGCCAGCCCUGUCUCAUUGGACUUUGACAUUUUUGAGAGUUUGCGCGACGCUAGUCGUACGUCGUGCAAUCUCAGCCAGCGCUGCGAGGUUUUGCGCGACGCUCUCGUAUGCGUCGCGCAAACCCUAGUACCAAAUUCUGGCUACUCGUAAUAUUGCGCGAUGAACAAUUUGUGUACGUCGCGCAAGAAUUACAUCUCGCCCGCUAAACCCCAAAUCCCAAAUUUUGGCGGACGCCAUCAUUGCGCGACGAAACUUAUGUUUAUGCGUCGCGCAAGAAUAAAAAUUCGCCCGCUAAACCCUUAAUCCCAAAUUUUGGCGGACUGCCAACAUUGCGCGACGAACACUCACUUUUAUUCGUCGCGCAAAAACGACACUUUUGCCAAAUUUUGGUGGAAGUAUGACUUUGCGCGACGAACUUAAAUUUUAUUCGUCGCGCAAUAGCCAUUUAAAAAUUCUUGCGCGACGCUACUUUUGAUUCGUCGCGUAAAAACGAAUAAAAUUUCAGAAACCACGCGAUGGCCUCCUUCUUCCCCAGACUUCUGAAAUUCCUCCCCGCCGUUUCUCUCCCCGCCGUCAGCUCAGCCUCCUACCCCGGUGGAUUUGGACCGCGCCCGCGACGUUGGUGGUACCCCGGAGCUCCCCCGCCGUCGCCGUCAAGCCAGCCGCUGCGAUUUCUUCGGUUUUCACCGAAUCGGCUCCGCCGUGUUCUCCCUCCUCCGGCGACCAAUUCCGACACCUGAGGUAUGGUUUCUAUCCUAUUUUUAAUGCUUUAGCUGAUGGUUGGGUAGGAUUUCUGAAUUUGUUGCACUAGGGCACUUAAUUUGAAACCCUAAGUUUCGGCCGGAUUUUGAUUUUCAAUUCCGGCCACUUCCGGCCAUUUUUCGGGGUAUGUCCGAGAACAAAAGUGGCUCCAAUUGAUGUUUUGAACCUAGGAUAGGAACCUUGCCCCUUAGUUUUAAGUAUUUUCCGGCGAUUGGUAUCGCUUUGGACACCCGCGCGCUGCCGGCGCGUGGGGCGGCGCGUGGGUUCCUGUAGCAACCCGAUUUCGGUCCUAAUGCAUUCCUGUAGUUGUCACGAGCGCAUAGGUGUUUUCGGAUUAGAAUUUGGUUACCGUUUGAGCCUCGAAUGGAUUUUGCCUAUUGUGCGAUUUCCGGGGUUGUUAUGUUCGGACCGUUGGAUCGAACUCAAACUCACGUAUGUUGUAGCUUGUAUUUCUUGGAUCGUCUACGAUUCGACGGAUCGUGGAUCGGAGUCCCGGAUACUCCGAACUCGCAAACCCUAGGUCAAUAAUGUGAAUGAAAUUGUAUGUGUUUUCAAAUAUUCGUAUAUUUUAUUAAUUUGUAUGUGUAUUAAUGAAAAUGUGCAGAUGUCAGACCUGAUUACACGUCGUAGGGCGGUGACGACCCCGCAGAGUACGGCGCCCCCGACUCAGCCGACAUCUGCUGCCACUGCUCCAGCAUCUCCUGCCACUGCGCCGGCAUAGAUGGACCACUUGGCAGUUGCACCUGCGAGGUCCCAGGGGCCUGCCUCAUCCGCGUCAUCAGUGGCGCAGCCUGUUAGUGCCAGGCGGCGUCAUCGGCCCGGCAGCACCACCGAGACCACAUCCACUGAUGCGUCGGGGUCACAGCCAGGUAUAGCUUUCCUUUUUCUCCAGUUAAUUUUAUUUUUUAUUUCUUGUUUUUUGUGUGUGUGUGUGUGUGUGUGUGUGUGUAUUUGAUUGUUAACUUUGUUAUUUAUUUAACAUUCAUGUCAUCUUUCUUUGCAGCCAAGAGGAACACCCGAGGGCCGUGUCGGCAGUUGAAGACGGCGAAGGUCACCCGGGUGACCAACAGUCGUAUCAACAUCGGAUACGACGAGCGACAUCGGGCUGCACCGACGGCAGAGUUGCAUAGCUCCUUGGCCCACGACAUUGGCCACGUCGUGCGGACCCAUUGCCCGAUGCAAUGGAAGUCUUGGAGGGUCAUGCCUGACGAGAUCCAGGCGGAGGUUCGCGGCCAGUUGUCGGUAUGUACCUUACAUUUUCAUUAUUUUUCUUUAAAAUUGUGUAUAUUUCUAUUACUUAACGUAUCUAAUUAAUUGAUUGCAGACGAACUAUAACUUGGAGGAUCUCGACGAAGAGUCGUUGACGUACGUCAACAGACUCUUCGCUGAGAGGUACAAGCAGUGGAAGGGCGACUUGCACCACCAUUUUCAGGCCUAUGAUGAUCCGCAAGUCGCUCUUCAGGAGGGUUGCCCGAAGGAGCUUGAGGGGCGGGAGGAUAGUUGGGAGUGGCUCUGCGCUCAUUUUCAAGCGCCCGAAUUUGCUGUAUUUUUUUAAUUAUAUUUGUUUAAUUAUUACUUAUUACUUAUUAAUGUUUAUUUUAUUUUUUUAUUUCAUUAUUAUUUAAUUUUUUAUAUUUUAACUAAUACGUUUCAUUUUUUGUAUAACAGAAUAAAGCCCAAGUGAAUAAGGGUAAUAGGAAGAAGAAGACCCUUCUCCACCAUUCCGGCUCCAGACCCUUUUCGUAUAGGAUGGAUGCACGGCGUCGGGUAAUAAUCACAAAAUUUUUAUUUCAUUUUUAAUGUCAUUUUUAUUAAUUUAUUUUUUUCAUACUAAUAUUUUUCUUCUCUUGUUCAAUUUAGGAGGGGUCCAAGUUCCCAGAGAUCGACGUCUUUGGUGACGUUUAUGUUCGACCCGGGAAUGAGUUGGCCGAGUCCCUUCAUGUAAGUAUUAUUUAAUUUUAAUUCUUAUGUUACGCAUUCAAUUUAUAUGCAUGUUUUAAUUUAUAUUUUAUGUUAUGUUCAACAGACGACGAUGGUGGAGAGGAGCCAGCUUGUUCUUCAGGAGUCCACCUCCCAGCUUCCUCCCGAGACUCCGAUCGAGUCUGUGGCUCCUCCACAGGAUGCUGGAUUUCAGAUCUUGACGGAGACGUUGGAUCAGACUCUCGGGAGGAGGCCGGGGACAUAUUGUCGAGGGAUGGGGAAUGCCCGGCGGAGGGAACAUCGACCUCGUUCGUCGGCGCAGUCAAACAGUCAGGUCACUGCUUUGACAGCACAGGUGGCCACUCUUCAGAGCCAGAUGUCGGUCAUUCUGCAGUCCCUCGCACAGUCCGGCAUUCCAGUCCCGCAUUUUGAUGCGCCGACCUCUGAGCCCGUCCAUCCCGGGCAUCCCCACCAGACCACUGCCCCGGUGAACGCCCCGCCCUCCGAGCCGCAUACUGGCGACGACUCGGUUGAUUUUGAUUCAUUAUUUGAUUAGUGUAUUUAUUUUAUUUGUAAUACAUUUAUUUUAUUUUAUUUUAUAACAAAAUUUUAUUCUAAUUUAUUUUUAUUGCAAUUUCAUUGUUUAAUCAAUAAAAAGAAACCAAUUUUAUUUAAAAUAAAAAAAAAAAAAUUGUAAUAUUAUUUUUGCGCGACGGAAAAUAUUUCGUCGCGCAAACCAACACGUAACAAAAAAAAAUCAAAUUUUUUUUAUCUUUUUUAAUUCAUGUGCGACGAAGUCAUACGUCUCGCAAAUAUGUUUUGCGCGACGAAAUAUUUCGUCGCGCAAAAUAUUUGUGCGACGAAAACAUGCUCAUCGCGCGAAUUGUUCUGCGACGAAAAUAUACGUCUCGCGAACACAUUAUGCGCGACGAAUAAUAUUUCGUCGCGCAAUUCCCGUCGUCGCGCAAAUGUACGUGCGCCGCAUACUUGAUCGUCGCGCAAAUACUUUUGCAACGAAUAGUUGUAUUCGCGCGAAUUGUUCUGCGACGAACAUAUACGUCUCGCGAACACGUUGUGCGCGACGAACAAUGUUUCGUCGCGCAAUUCCCGUCGUCGCGCUAAUGUACGUGCGCCGCAUACUUGAUCGUCGCGCAAAUACUUUUGCGACGAAUAGUUAUAUCGUCUCCACACCGUUGGUGCAACGAUGGUUUACCCGUCGCACACUUUUGCGCGACAAAGGGUUUUACCUCGUCGCGCAAAGGCUUUCUUCACGAUCUUCGCGCGACGGAAUAUGCGCGACGACUUUUUUGUCGCGCUGAAAUUGGGGCGACUAAAUCAUACUUUGAGCGACGUUUUUGUCUUCGUCGCGCAAAGUGUAAAAUGUAGUAGUGCUUGCACUGGAUGUAGCUAUGGUUUCGAAAGCUCAGUGUCACGUACAUGUGUUUAUCAAGAUAAAAGUGCAGGCUGUACCACAAUCACACAAUCAGACAACACAAGUGAUGUCAAUUGCAAUAUUUCGUGUUUGAUAUUACUUGAUCGCAUAAUGUAAUGUGUGUACCAAAUAUGAUACCGUUGUGGAUGCUCUUGUGUCCAUAGAGACUGUUAUUUUCGUCCUUUCAUGCUGAUUUUAAGUCAGAUCGAUGCAUGACACUUUGAUUUUCCACUCUUAAUUUUGAAUAAUGUGUUCACAUAUAGACUCUGUUUUCUAAACUUAACUUGAAUAUUGUACUUUGGAUCUUGUGGUUGUUUGCUAGUAUUGUUCGACGCAGAUGUGUUGCUCCCUUACUUAAUAAAGUUCUUCCAUGAAACCACACUCAUGAUUUAAAGAAGAUAUGUCGGCUUAAAGUUCUGAAUUAGAAUCGCAAUCAAACUUUGGAUAAGUAUUUUUGAAACACAUUAUCUCUCUACCUAACAACCGAAAUAUAUAUAUAUAUUGGAAAUGUUGCAUAAAUAUCACAUGAACAUUUGUAUGCAUCAUUAUCAUAUAAACUUUGUAAAGUAUUGCAACGCACAAUCUAUGUCUAACUCUGUUAAAGUUUCUAUAAAGUUAUGCAAAUUUCCCCACCGGCUGAUACUUCUCUUAAGGUUUUUUUGUUGGGACGAAUAUUACUUCAAUAAUAAAUAGUGAUAUCCAUAAUAGAGUAACUGAUAAACAACAUGAUGAUAAAAGCCAAAAGCCAUAAUAAUAGUCACAUAAUUAAAAACCCAACGGAAAUAAGAGAUUACUUAUAAUAAAGAAGAGGGUGCAUGUAAUUAAUAUUUUGAUGAAGCCAACUAAUUUUUGGUGUGAGUGGUAGAGAUAAUGAGAGGCUGAAAGCCAUGUUGGAGAGUUGCUUGCCAAACUUUGUCAAUAUUGGACAUGUUGUACCCACACUCAUGCUCCUUCCAGCCUUCCAAGGCAUGCACUAUGCCUGCUAUGCGCCAUGCACUCAUCACCCUUCUUGGCAACCAAUUCUGUUAAUAACAUAAUUAACAAUGCAAAUUAAUAACAUAAAAAUAUAUAUUAGUCAUAAUUUACUAAUUAAUAACAAGAAAAAAUAAAACAAUUGCUUAAUUACCUCACAAGCAUGAACAUUCUCAAGAGAUGGGGGUGUCUUCAUUGCUGGAGUGUAGUGGUAGAAGCAGUCUUUACGCAAUUUUUUUGGUGGGAAUUGGGAGAAAGGAACAAAUAAUGUUCCUUUUGGUGCUCUCAAUUGUUCUUCUUCACUCAAUCCAUCUCCCACUAACCAAAUCUGCAAGUAGAUAAACUAUUUUAAAAUCAUAAUCAAGUAUCCAAAAUAGGAGCACAAAAUUAAUGUAUUGAAACAUUAAGAGCGAAGAAGCCAAAAUUCGUAGCAUGCAUAUUACCUUAUGUGCAUAACUUUUUGCAAGAACCAAGCUACUUUCCAUGCCACUUAAUGAUUUGGUGAGCUUCAAAUACUCAUCGUGGUGUAAUGUAGUUAUCUUCAAAGACAAGUGAUUAAAGGCAAGAGAGUCAGCAUGAUGAUGACAUGGUACAACAGUCCUACACAAAUUUUUUCUAUUCUUACAUAUAUAUUUACCUGGAUACCCUUCUGGCACAAAGCAAAAGCAACGGCAUGAGCAACCUUUGUGAGGUUGCCUCUAAGAAGAACUUGGGUGGUUCCUUUUGGAAUGGUGUUUAGGGUUAUGGCCACAGCUAAGCUACUUCCAUCCACAAUCCUGAUUUUGAGAUGAGGAUGCCUGUGAACGUACACACCACCAUAUCUAUUCAGCUCCUCACCCUGCAUAAACAGACGUACUUUAGCAUGUAUUCUAAAUCGAUGGAUUUCUAAUAUAAUAUUAUUCAUACUAUAUCUUUAAUUUUAAUCAUCAUAAUUAAAAAUGGUGCAGGUUUUUUUUUCUGGUCAAUCUGUUCAGGCAAUUUACUUCAUUACCAACUAUAUAUAUACUGAUUGGCAUUAUGGGUGAGAGAAACCAAGAUCGGCUAGAGCAGUAGAGGUAGCUAGCUGGAGUCCCUUGUAGGGUAAACCAUAAAUAAAUUUACAGUACCCACUACAUACAUUCAUGCAUGCAUACAUACAUACAUACAUCCAUGCAUGCAUACAUACAUACAUACAUACAAAUACCAUGGACCAUUAAUAACUUGGUUAACUUAGAAGUGAAUUUAUUGAGCUCAAAUAAUUUACCUUGAAAUUAAAAGGGAAUAGAAACAACAGACUUGCCUGAUUUAAGAGACCCAGACAUAAAACUUUGACACCCUUUUCCUCUGCUUGAAUUAUGGCUUCCUCAAUCAAACUGUUGAUGGCUUCAUUUUGCCAUUGCAAGUAGUACUGCAUUAAAUUAUAAAUUAAAUAAAAGUGCAACCAGUAUCAGUAAUAAUUAUUUUUCUUUACCGAAUAUGGUUUAUUAAAGUGCAAGGUUGAAAUCUCUGAAUUUUUUUAAUACAAACGAUAGUCUAGAGAAGAAAUUGGUCUCACUUGCAAAUUGUACUUUGGUAUAGCCCAAGUUUGUAAUAUGAGAUUAUCAAAACGUUGCCUCUCAACCACAAAUGUACGGCCAUAGAUCCAAGUUAGAAUCAUAGACCACAAUGUCACAGGCCACAUCAGCCAUAGGUACCAUUUUGAUGUGUGGGGCUGGGAGGCCAAGGAAGCAAAUCCUAGCGGUAGAUGAUAGAUGGACUCAGGUGUUGUCAGAUGGGUUAGAUGAAGGACAUCUGGCGUUUCUUCCUCUCUCUUGAGUGAAGUUUUAUAGAGAGUAUCCGAAGAUUUGUCUAUGGUUUCAUAUAUGUAAUCGUAAAUUGGCAUAAAAAGUGAGUAAUUGGUUCUGAAUUGUGUGUGAUGCAAGGAGUGGUACCUGCACACAAUUAAGUUACUACAUCAAUUAUAAACAAAUUCAAAAAUAAUUUUGUUGAAUUAAUAUGUCAUUUUCCAACCCCUAAUAUAUUACAAAGCAUAUGCUAUGACUAUACAAUGUUUGCAAUUAACUUAGUUCACCUUGGACCCACUUAGCUCCCCAAUUGAACAUUUAUUUCGUCUUUCCACCUAACAGUUUAAGGUUUUGGGUUGAUACUUCAAUUUUAUAUCACAACCACCAAACCUAGCUCACCUUGACCCACCUAAGAAGCUCACUUUGAAAUAGACAACCUUAACCCUUCUCCCCUAAUAGGUUAAGGAUUUAAGUUUUUUGUUUGUUUGUUUGAAGGUUUUGAAUUAGAUAUACUUAGGAGUACAGUAAUUUCCGUAUUUCAGUAUUAUACAAUAAUUGAGAGAGAGAGAGAGAGAGAGAGAGAGAGCUUGAGACUUACGAGGGUGUAUACAUAAAAUACUUAAGAGGAGGAAAUAGAGAAAAGAGCCAGUUUGGAAUGAGCUCGAAAUUGCAGUGCCCCAUGUUGUUCAUGAAGUCAAUGUAAGUAAUAUAAGCAGUAAAAGAUACCACAGACAGUGUUCUCGUCAACAUAGUUCCCAAAAUUGGUAUAAAGAAGAGCGCAGAAUAUACUACAUGCUCCGCAAAUGGAUGAAUCACAGCUGCAACAAAUUAAACAUAUAUUAAAUAUUAAGUAAUAUUUAAUACAAAUAAAUCAAUGUAAUUAAACAUUUAAAUAGUUUUUUUGUUCUUACAAGUAAUUGGCUGAGUAACUAUUGAGGAAUGGUGAUGAGAAUGGUAGCGAGAGUAAAGGUAAUGAUGGUGAAGUGCUCUGUGAAACCAAUAAUACAGGAACUCCACAGGACCAGCAUGAAGCACAAUGGUUAAAAGAACUCCAUGUGCCCUCCAAAGUGGCAGCUUUUGAGCCCCAGGCAGGUACCUGCUGCCUGUGUAGAAUAGGAGUGCAUUGAACAAUAUCUGGUCAUCCCUGCACUCCAAACCCAAACAAAUUAAGUAAAUAAGUAUUUGUUUAGCCACCUGUGUUUUUCUUUUAUACAAGCAAUAUUAGGGAUAGGGGGAAUCGAACAUAAGAACUCGAAUGCAUGGGUAAAUACUCUUAACCAAUUCACCAAUUGUUUAGCCACCUUAUGAGUUAUAUAUUAUACACGUUUUUUUUAUGUAUAUUAUAAUUUAUACUGACCAAUUGUUUUCUCUGUCGACCUGUUCGAAUUCGAGACCCCUGUCAAGGAUUCGGCCAUUGCCUUUGGCAGUUCGAUAUCGAGACAGAGAGAUCCAUAUCUGGUUGUGGAUGAUCCUCCACAACACCACUCCAAGCAAGAGGAAGUAUGAAACGUCUCUUUCUUUUGCAUCGUUAGCCACAAACAACCAGGUGCUGUGGAUGAUCCAUGGAGCCAAGAUCACGUACUGCAUGCAUAUAUAUCCCAGGCCCAUAUAAAAGUUAGAACACCAAAAUAAGCUCAUAUAUAUAUAUAUAUAUGAUGAAGCUGGACAGAAAACAAUGGAAGUAUGUAAUGAGGUAUGGCUUGUAUACGUAGCUUGCAGUUCGACAUGUCAUAUAAUAUACAGGCAUGAACAAGAGAGAGAGAAAGAGAGAGAGAACCUUGAGGCUUCCAAGAGCUUUCCAUGGCCACUCAGUAAGAAUUCCAGGCACAGAAGCCAUAUUCUUCUUUGUUUCUUUGUAGUGUAGCUUUGAAGGAGUAUAUGAUAUAUACAUAUAUAUACUUCAAGGUACGUACUGUAGAGUCCAUAUAAGCUUUUUUUUUUUUUUUUUUCUUUCUUUUAUUGGGAAGAAGGCUGGUUGUUUGUUAUAAAUUUUGAUAAAGAAAGUGAUGAAUUAUACAAUAUGAGGGUGACAAUACUCACCAUGUCCACCUACUUUUUUAUACAACUGUAAUGAUAAAUGUCUCAUCAAACAAAUUCUUACCUCUAUUAGUGUCCACAAGAGUAUUAUCUUUCAAAACCUCAUUACUUUCUUCAUUAGAACUUUAGGGGCUCGUUUGGUACACAGUAUUAUCUUGGCAUGGACUAUGUUUAGGGACUGGCUUGGCUUGGCUUGGCUUGGUCUAAGUUGGAUAACACUUAUCCUACAUUUGGUGUAUACUUGGACUAGGACUAGAAUUUUUUUAUUUUUUCAAAAAUAUCUAUAUAUAUGUAUAUAUGUAUUUUAUAAUAUAUAAAAUAUAUAUGUAUAUAUACAUACAUAUAAUAUAUAUAUAGGUGUAUAUAUGUAUAUUAUAAUAUACAUAGGUAUAAUACAUAUACAUAUAUUUAUAUAUAUGCAUGUAUAUUAUAAUAUAUAAUAUAUAUAUGGGUAUGUUAUAAUAAUAAUAAUAAUAAUAAUAAUAAUAAUAAUAUACAUGUAUAUACGUGUAUAUACAUAUAUUAUAUAUGUAUGUAUAUAUACAUAUACAUUAUAUAUAUUAUAAAAUACAUAUGUAUAUAUAAUAUAUGUAUAAUAUACAUAUAUAUAUAUAUAUAUUAUAUAUUGUAAUACAGUCCCCUUCUAUUGAGGGAUCCCUCAAAUAAUUUUAUUUGAGGGACGCCCUUUAGGGUACCCUAUAAUUCUUUUCCCAAUAAUCCAAACCAUCUAUUUUUUAGGUAUUCAUUCAUAGAUCAUCCUUACAAAAAAUUAGACAAAUCGAAAACCGUUUCGACAUCCAAUUGUGUCUUACAAAAUCAAUGAACACGGUGCUUUAAGAAAAGUACUAAAAUUUCAAUAACUCAAUUGAGUGGUCACAUGAUAUCGGAUUCAAGUGAUUUUUUGUAGAGAUGAUCUUUGAAUGAGUAUCUACAAAAUAGACAGUUUGGAUUAGUGAAAUACAAUCCGGAGUGGGGCCUACAAGGGGUGUCCCUCAAAUAAGUUAUUUGAGGAAUCCCUCAAUGGAAGCUCUCUGUAUUGUAAUAUACAUAUAUAUGUAUAUACAUGUAUAUAAUAUAUGUGUAUAUAGGUGUACCUAUAUAUUAUAAUAUAUGUAUUAUACCCAUAUAUAUAUUAUAAUAUAUAUACAUAUAGUAUAAAUAUAUAAUGUAUAUGUGUAUAUACGUGUGUAUGUGUAUAUUAUAAUACAUACAUGGGUAUAAUAUAUAUACACAUAUAUGUAUAUAUACUUAUAUAUAUAUAUUACAUAUAUACAUGUAUGCUAUUAUUAUAAUAUUAAUAUGUAUGUGUAUAUGGGUAUAUUAUAAUAAUAAUAUACGUGUAUAUAUGUACAUUAAUAUGUAAUAUAAUAUAUAUUACAUAUAUACAUGUAUACAUGUAUACAUGUAUGCUAUUAUUAUAAUAUUAAUAUGUAUGUGUAUAUGAGUAUAUUAUAAUAAUAAUAUAUGUGUAUAUAUCUAUAUGUAUUUAUAUAUAUAUAUAUAUUAUAUAUGUAUAUAUGUGUUUAUAUAUAUAUACAUGUAUAUGUGUAUAUACAUGUAUAUAUGUACAUUAUAGUAUAUGUGUAUAUAAUAAUAAUAAUAAUAUUAUUAUUAUUAUUAUUAUAUUACAUAUAUACAUGUAUACAUGUAUGCUAUUAUUAUAAUAUUAAUAUGUAUGUGUAUAUGAGUAUAUUAUAAUAAUAAUAUAUGUGUAUAUAUCUAUAUGUAUUUAUAUAUAUUAUAUAUGUAUAUGUGUUUAUAUAUAUACAUGUAUAUGUGUAUAUACAUGUAUAUAUGUACAUUAUAGUAUAUGUGUAUAUAAUAAUAAUAAUAAUAAUAAUAAUAAUAAUAAUAAUAAUAAUAAUAAUAAUAAUAAUAAUAGUAAUAUAUGUUAUUAGUAUUACAAUAUAAUAUAUGCAUCUUAUACAUUGGUGAACAUAGGACUAGCUAAUCCUCCCUUUCUACAUGGGCUUAGUAGUCCCCUCCUAAUGAGGUGUUUUUGGUGGGCCCGGUAUUAGCAAUCUCAUCUAAGACUAGAAUUAAAUGAAACAAACAUGGUACUAAAUUUAGUCCAAGCCAGUCCAAGCCAGUCCAAGCCAGUCCAAGCCAAGACUGUGUACCAAACGACCCCUAGAAGUUUGAACUGAUUAGACUUGAAGCCUAUCUUUUUCAAUCAAUUCUUCCAUUUCUUUCAAUUUUUGCUUUGCAAUUCUAUGAGUGUUAUCUGUCUCCACUCCCUUACUCAAUAUAUCAUAAACCAUUCGCAUCAAACUAUUUCGACGGAAAGUCACUGGUGAUUUAUAUAUCACUUAGUUGUAGAGAUUCUCCGCAUGCUCAUUUGCAUCCCGUUCUUUCUUUGCUUCUUUUGUCUACCAUUUCAAUAUGUAUUGAGAUGGUUUGUCAAAGAUGGUUUUGUUUUCAAUGGAUUUUCGUUGUGAUGCUUAUUGCUUUGUGAUGGUGGAGCAAGAAGGUGAAACAAAAAUGAGAAGAGGAUAGAACGGGUAGCAAGGAGGAAAAAAGAGAAGAGGACAGAAGUGAAGAAGAAGAAGAGAGAGAAGAAAAAAAAAAUUAAACUUUUGGAUGUUAACUAUCCCGUUAGUUGGUUGUUAGGGUUUUUUUAUAUUUUUUAAUUAGGAGUAAAUUGGAUUUUUGUUUUAGAAUGAUGUGUCAACUUUUAAAUCUGUUAGAUUAAAUUUUAAUGAGAUGACAUAUGGAGAAUAAAAGUAAAGCAGAUCAUGACAGAGAAAAUUAAAGCAGAAGAUCCAGAUCCCUCAUUUUCAAUCAAACGCAACCAACACUACUUUUACAAAAGGCAAUUAAGCGAAUCGACAAAUCUGUAUAAGAAAAAUCAUAUUUGAACCUUCUCAUCCAAAAGAUACCUAAAAAAAAUGAAUCUAUCUAGCAAACCAUCCUUUGGAACCGGAAACAAAAAUUUUAUUUAUCAACAGUUUCAACAAGCAGUGAACUUCUUCCUUCGACCAAAAAAAAAAAAAAACUUCUUCGGAUGUUAACUUCAUAAAAAUAAAAAUAAAAAUUGUUUAAAAAUUAAUGCCUCGCUUAGUAUAAAAUAAACAAAAAUUUGAGAAAAACAAAAAAAUUAAAGCUAACCACCCGUUUAUAUAUCUUCUAAAUUUUUCUUUAAGAUGACAAAAUGAAAUUAUAAUGUAUUAAGUUGAGGUGAUAUUUUCAAAACCUUCCCUUAAAAGUUCAUCGAAUCAAAAUUCUAAACAUUCAUCAAUGAGCUUAUUCAAGUUAGGCGUCUUCAUUAAGUAAUUUGAGUAAAAACGGCUGGAAAGCAAGUAGUUGAGAGGGCAGCUUUCACUUUCAAUAUUCAAGUUCAUUUCAACAACUACUUAAAUGACACGUCUUUAUUCAUCUCUAUAGAUACGUACCGACAUAGUUGUCCCGGAUCUUUAGAUGCUAACGUCUCCAUCUGUGUUGGAAUUUGGUUGAAGGACGAUAAUAACCGUAUACCAAAUUAGAAAUCAAAGCUAUCCUCAUUCUAUAUAAUAAAAUCCAAUUACAUUUAUAACAAAACCAGCUACUAACUGACGACACUCUCUUAAAGAGACACUUAGCAAAUUCAAGACUUACAAUUCAAAGAGUUUCUGUACUACGUUGAAUAAACUAGAACAAAACUAAAAACUUAAAAACGACGACAAAAGAAGAGUAAUUAACGAUAAUUUUCUUUCAAAACAUGACAAAAAACGCUACCUAAUCACUCCAUAACCCCAGUUUUACUUAGACCGCACUGAAGUUUUUCCCAUCUGAAAGUGUUUUAUAUUUCACAAAGAAAAAUAUUUUAUUGGAAGACGAUGUAUUAAUUAUUAGGGAGUGUUAGCAACUUUCUCUCUAACCUUCUCCUUUGGACCUUAUCUCUUCUUCUCAUGACAAGUGUCACUUUCUUUACACUUAAAACAAUAUCAUUAAUGCAUUACACAAACUAAUUUUUGUUUUCCAAGUUUACCUUUAUUAAAUGUAUUAAUUUAUUUUAAUAACAAGCUAAUUUUUUUUUACAACUUUCUUAUCACUUUGUUAAAAAAUUAAAUAAAAAAUAAAAAAUGAAGUUUUUUUUAUAAAAAAAAUUUCCAAAGAGAACGUGUGUUUUGAUAAAAACAAAAUAAAGAUGAUAACAAUAUCAUAUAACAAAUUUUAUUUUUUUAUAUUCUAAAAAAUGACGUUUUCCUUAUUUAAUUUUUAACAAUGUGCUAAAGAAAUUGUAACAAAAUUUGAAUAAAUUGAAGGAAAUAUAAAAGCCAAUAUAUUUUAAAAUGGUAAAUUUGGAAAAUAAAAACUAACUUGUGUUAUGCAUUAAUAACAUUAUUUUAAGUGUAAAAAAAAAAAAUAACACUUCUUAUGAAAAGAAGGAAGAAGAUUUAAAAAAAAAAAAAAUUAGAGAAAAAAUUGCUAACAUUUCUCUUAAUGAUUUGUGCACAUUCGGUGUUGCACUUCUUGCAGACCAGAAAAAAAAGAUGUCGCAUUGUUUACAUAUACGAAAGAUCAGUUCCAAUACCAAGAAAUCAAUGAAGCCAAGCCAAGUUCCAACAUCACUUCUGCCUUUUUUUUACAAUUCAAUCUACUUUAGAUUGUCUUUACUUGUACUUCUUUCGAGGUGUGUGACAUUAAUGCUUAUUAUAAAAAUAAAAAAUAAAGAAUAACUAUCGCAAAUCUUCCUUUGGGACACAACAGAAAACGUCUCCUAAGUUUUUCCCCGUGUGAUAUGGAAAGUAUUUUUUAUAUUUCAGAAAGGAAGCAUUUUAUUGGAAGACGACGUAUUAUUUAUUUAUUUAUGCACAUGGACAUUCUGUGUUGCUUUUCUUGCUGACCAUUAAUUUUGUUUUGCAUUACUUGCAAGUUGCAUCUAUGAAAGAUCAUUCCCAAUAAAUGAAUGAAGCCACCCCAAGUUGCAAAAUAACUUCUGCCAUUUAUAAGGUGUGUGACUUAAUGCUUAUUAUAAUUUAUUUUUUUUAUCAACUAGAACAAUUAGGUGUGGAAAAUUAUUGUAAAAGGUUAAAUAAAUUCAUUAAACUAGGGGACAUAUGAUUAUUUCAUUUCUUGUCCUCAAAAUAUAAAAUAUAAGAUUGGUAAGUCUAACUGAUGAAAAAGAAUCUUGAUAAUUAUAUAUAUAUGAUGUUAUUCUAUAUAUAUUAAUAUUAGGGCAUGUUUACGUAUUAGUAAUUGAUAUGGAAGGAAAGGGAAUGAUUUCUAUUCCUGACUUUCUCUAGGUUUACUUGCAAUUAGGAAUGAAAAAAUAAGCGGGCCCCAUCUCAAAAUUCGUAAACACAUUCUCUCAAAACUAGGUAUCAUAUCAACUAGGAGGGAGUAGUCAAUAUGAUUCCCAUUCCUGUUUUCUCUUAAUAACUUCGAAAAAUACCCUUACCACUUUACCAUAAUUCUAAAAUUAAUUUGGAUUUUGAUUCAUGCAAAUUAGUAAACAAUAACAAUGGGAAUCAAUCCCAUUCCUUUGCUAAUUCCAUAUGUUUAGUAAACAGUUUAAUGGGAAUAAUUCUACUCAUACUGAUUCAGUAGUUCCCCGAUUCUUAAAUUCUCCGAUUCCUUACUUUCUCUAUUACUGAUACGUAAACAUGCCCUUAGGGUUAUUUACAUAAAGGUCCUCAAACUUAUACCCAAGUUACAUUUUGAUCCCUCAACUAAAUUAUUCACUCAAAUGGUUCACCAACUCUCUAUUAUUCGCCAAAUUUGUCAAUUGUUACAUUUUGUCAAUAUUGUUGUGAAAUAUGAGGGCAAAUUGGUAAUUUCAAUGUUAAAAUAAAAUAAAAUAAAAAGCUCUGUAUGUGCAAGGUGGAUUGUGGUAUGGAACAAAAUGAUACAUAUACAUACAGUUGGUUUUAGUGGGACAAACAUGGUCAAUGAGUCAAAUUCUCUCCCCCUCCCCCAAAUGUUAUAUAUGAAAGUAUCCACAUAAUUCCCACAGAGUAUGUGUACUUCUACAAGGAGGGGGAAAGGGGUUCGUUGCUAGUAGGGAUGACAAUAGGUCAAAUCGAAGGUGGGUAGGUCAUUCUCAUUCCCAUCCCCGUUAAGUUUUUUCCCCUCAUCCCUGCCUUCAUUACCAACAAUAUGCAUAUAAGGGAUUCUCCAUCCCCAUCUUCGUUGGGGAAUAGGUUCUCCAACCCGCCUCAUUACAGAAGAAAAAAUCAAUAUAAAACUACUUUGUUGAAAGAAAAAAUAGGAUUCGGAUAAGAUAGUGAAUAUAUAUAUAUAUAGUCUAAACGGGAAGGGUUCAGGUCGGGGAUUAAAAUAUCAUAUUCUCCCAUCCCGAACACCAUUCCCAAAAAAUUCAUCGUACCCAUCCCCAUACUCAUUUUUUAUCCUUCAUACUCGACCAAUUAGGGUAAAUCCCCAGCGAAGACCGUUACCCAAGGAGAAAAUUGCCAUCCCUAGUUGUCAGGAGGUGCAAAUAGGAGAGAAAGAAAGAGAGAGGAGGGGGGAAACAGAAGGGGGGAGGAGUCUGUGGGGGAAUGGGGGAGAAGAAAUCGGGGGAGGGGGUUUGUUUGGGUUUGAGGAUUUUUUUUCCUCUUCUUCUUCAAUUUUUUAACUAAUUUUGUAUGAAUUUUAACCGUGUUUUUAUUUUUUAAUUAUGAAAAGUCAUAUUUAUCUUAAAAUUUAGUUAAAUGUAAUAGAAAAAUAGACGGUGAGACUAAUUUACCGAAUAAUAAAGAGUUUAUGGACAAUUUGAGUGAAUAAUUUAAUUGAAUGACCAAAAUACAACUUUAGUAUAAGUUUAAGGACAAUUUAAAUAAAUAACCCAUUAAUAUUAAUUUGUUAUAUCGCAAAAGUAUAUAACAUCUAAUUAUUUCAUUUCUUGUUCUCAAAUUUUAAAAAUAAAAUGAUAUUAUUUUACACACAUGAUUUUAUAACACAAGGAUAUUAUUUUAAUUUGUUAAACCCUUCUCACUCGUCACAUCACUGAAAGUUAAUCUCAAAGUGUAGAUUUUUUUGGCAUCUCCACUACAGUCCCUUUGAAAAAUUUGUAGGUAUAACAUUAUGAUUGCAGAGGCCACAGCCCUUAAAUUCGAUUGAUUGGACGGGCUUUUUCGAAAAGCAAAAGCAUCAUAUCCACGCGUAGAUGCUGAUCGUCUCGUAAAUCAUUGUUGGGCAUUUACUUGGACUGUUGAGUUCUCGAUCGGUUGAGAACUUGGCAGAUAAGCUUGUCUGCGAAAAUUAAGUAUUAUAUAGUGAUGUGGUAAAUGGUCCUAACUUAAAACAGCAACCAAUAAAUUCAUAUAAUGUGAUUUUUUAAUUGGCUAUGUUUUGUGUGGGAGAGGUGGAAGCAAAUAAAUUGAUGGGCUGAUAGGCUUGAGGGAAAAAUAAGAUUUGGACCUAUUAUAUGAUAGGUCACACGUCGUUAUUUAUAAUCUUAUAUUUAAUUCAACAAUUAACAAAUCACUAAUGAAAUGACCUUUCUCAUUUAUUAUAAUCAACGUUGUACAACAAUAAGUUCGAUAUGAUAUAUCAGACCUACCUACAACCCUAAUUCAAGCAUUUUAUGUUAUUUGUAUUUUUAUUCAAUAAUUGUCGUCUAUUAUAUUUCAACAAUUGUCGUCUAUUAUAUCUCUUACAAUAAAAUAAAGACUAUGCGUUUAGACUCAAUAUCACACUCUUGUACACAUGAAUACCAGUAUACUGGUAGUUACCAGUGUUGUAGAAAGGGUAAGGUAUCCCAAUGUUUACUAUUUAGGUGUCAAUCCCAAUGCACUGGUGCAAUAAUUUUUAUUAUUAAAACUAAUGUCUCUAAUUUACUAGAAUGUGAAAGGACUAGACAGACAUAAUGAUAGUAAGAAGAAAAUUCAUGGACUGCCCAAAUGUCACUAAAGCCAAUUUGGUGAGUUGGAGAUGGUGACUAUUAUAUAUAUAUAUAUAUAUAUAUAUUUAUUUAUUUAUUUAUUUUUGUAGUGAGUUGAUGUGACGUAAUUUUUGUUUGAAUUCUCUAAAGGGCAGGGAGCUUCUUUUGGCAAUCGAAUUAAAAGUAGCUGCUUAAUUAAUGCAGACGUGAGCGUGCGUUGUUGAAUUUUGGUAGCUAUUUUGGUAGUACUCUUAUCAUUUUAUACACUAAAUUUUAACCUUAAUCUAAACAAAUUUUCCUAUGUAUAAUGUUAGCCUUUAAUUUAAUAUAAUUUUUGUUAUAUUAUAUAAAACGAAAUUAAUAUAAUGUGAUGUGUUACGCCAUAAAAUGAUCUUGUAAAUGCAUAUCUUUAACAUGCGUUGGGUUCAAGAAAUUAAUGUGAUAGGGCCUUCUCAACCUCACCCUGUAUUGAGCCACAAUAAUCAUCUUCAAACUAGACUAACCUAGUAAAAUUAAUCUUAAGCUUGAUGAUAUACAUGUGCAAUUACAAAAUUGUCAAAGAAAACCAAAAAAGAUAAACUAACAAAGUUUAACCUAACAAUCACUCAUGUGUUUACUUUACAUAAAGGAAUAAGAAGGCAAGCGAGACCACACAAUUUAAUAAUAUUUACUCAUGUGCUUUUGGAGGAAUUGAACUCUUGGGUGAGAGGUGGUAUGCUAUUCUAAUUCCUUGGAGAACUGGCCCAUUAGGAAUCCAACUUUUUUACUCAUUAUAUUCUCACGCAAAUUUUAAAAUUUCAAAUUUAGCAUAUACUUUAACCCAAUAAUUUAUUUAGAACAACUGCAUUUUAGUACUCGAACUAGUAUUAAUUUCGAUUCACAAAAAUUUAGUAAACAACUUAUUAUAAGGAAUUAAUACCAUUUCUACCUCGAUUUCACAUGAUUUAGUUAACAACUUUAAUGGGAAUUUAGAUUCCAACUCCUCAUCAAUUAUCAAUUCCUCCUAACCCGAUUAUAGAUUACUAAACAUAUCUAUAAAGUAUUUGGACUCCAUAUAUCACAGUAAGAAAUAUUCCUUUUAAGCAUAUAAUUAAAGUUUAAUUAUCGAUGUGCUCCUUGUGCUUUGCUGGAAAUUCUACUUUACCCCCUACAUUUCAAACUGGGUCAAUAUAUGCCUCAUGUGCUUUAUUUCCGUGUCCCCCAUUCCCCCAUUCCGUCAAUUUGAUUAGUAAAACUGUUAACUUAUUGACGUAGCAUAAUCCUUUUAGUAAUUUUAGCUAUUAAACAAAUUUUAAAAUCUAAUUUAAAUAUAAAAAAUAUUUUAAUAAUAUUUUAAAAAAUAAGAUUAGAAAGAUAAAUUAAAAAAAAAAUAAAAAUUCCCAGCACCCCAGUAGCCCCACCACCACACCUCCCACCAUAACCCAAUCCAAUCCGCCUAGCCACCCAUGACCAGCACUCCGCCAUGGUUCAAAUAUGAUCUCCUUACCCAGGUGAUAUACCUAUUCCAAAAUAUUGAUAACAUUCUCUCCAAUCCACUUAGCCACUUUCACCCCCCAGCCAUGGGUUGUUGGGGGCGGUAGUUGGUGAUGGAGAAGGGUUGGGUUGUGGUGGGAGGUGUGGUGGCUAUUUGGGUGGUGGUUUUUUUUUUUUUUUUUAAAAUAUUUUUUAUAUUUAAUUUAGAUUUUGAGAAUUUGUAGAUCUAAAAUUACUAAAAUACAUAUGUCAAGUUAGUAAGUUAAUGAUUUUACUAACCAAAUUGACAGAAUGGGGAACGAGGGACACAGACAUAAAACACAUGGGGUAUAUUGACGUAGUUUGGAAUAUAAAAAAUAAAGUGAAAUUUUCAAUAACAUACAAGAGUCACAUCGAUAAUUAAGCCUAUAAUUAAUCACUCAUGAGUUGAUGAUGGCAAACCUAUAUAUUUUUGCCGACUAAAGAUAUCAUGGUCAUGUGAGUCAUAUCAGACUUAUUAGCUCUUCUGUUCUUUCAAUAUGUUGAUUAUUUGAGACAAUUCUCAAAACUUUUAUUUUGUGCACUAGCUUUUUUUUUUUUUUUUUCCCUAACACAAUCAUUAAAUCUAUAUAUAUAUAUAUAUAUAUAUAUAUUUGAAGCACACAUUUAGAUAAUAAUUCACCGAAAUGGAAUACAUUUACUAUACACACUUCAUUAUAUAUGCCAUGUGUUGAACUGUAUGCUUCAAAUGGAAUACAUUUACUAUACACACUUCAUUAUAUAUGCAUCAUGGGUUAAUAUAUGAUUAUAUAUGGAUCUUUCUUUUUGUGUGUGAUGUAUUGGGUUUGGCAGCAUGUGAUCUUGGCUCCUUGGAUCAUUCAUGGCGCAUACUCGUUUGUGGUUAAUGAUGGGAAAGAAAAAGAUCUAUCUUAUUUCCUCAUCUUUCCAUUUAUGCUGUGGAGGAUGAUCCACAACCAGAUAUGGAUCACUCUGUCUCGAUACCAGACCGCCAAGGGCAAUGGCCGAAUCGUUGUACAAACCUCUUGAGUUUGAGCAAGUCGACCGAGAAAGAAAUUGGUGAGCAUUUAUAAAGACCUAAAUAAGUUUUAGAACUUAACUUUGACACGUAAACUCGCAAUGUAAUCUCAUAAUCCGUCUGAAAACAAAGUAUCCAAGUUCUAUACUUAAGUAAGGGACUUGUGCCCAGUUAAGAUCAUGCAUCAUUGCACUUGAAGUCUUAAAUU